rnacentral:lncRNA from 1 species
CUGAAAUGAGGCCUGCAAGAUGACCCACGAAUUUGGACUGACAAGGAGUGUGGCCCAAAUUGGUUCUGUCAUUAAGCUCAUAUUCCUCUUGUGCCAAUCAACCCUUAACAUGCAUGAAUUGUAUCAAAUGUGAUCCCCUUGCUGUCCUAACCUAUAAAACACACAAACAUAGGUAAGAAACUCAAAAUAAAGAGAAACUAAACAAAAUUACUAAGCAAAGAAGGCAUGCAAACGUUUGAAAUUAUGACCUUAUCAGAAGCCUCUGAAGGAAGAGGACGACGCCUCUUAAGCUUAGCCAUGAACCUCUCGUGGUCUCCCAAAAUUCUUUCAUUGGAGACCUGCAGCAUGUCUAGCCUUCUCAGUGUAUCAACAGAGUACGAACUCACCAGUUUCAACAAGGCAUUAUUCUCUCCUUUAAGUUUCUCAACCUCCUGUUGAGACUCAUGAAGCAUUCUUUGGAGAGACGAAUUUUCAGUUGUUAACUUCUCAACCUCGUUUGCUCUGGCACGCAAACGAUCAGCCAUGUUAGAAACAGAAGCAGCACUCUGAAUGCUAAAAGCCAUUGAGUCAUCAAUAGCCUCUUCCUCUGAUCUCCCUGUCAACAACAUUUCAUCCAUUGGAGUAAUGAAAUUCCUAGCUACUAUGAUAGCAGUAGCAUCAUUCAUCAUCACAGAAUCAUUAACUGUGAGAUGACGAUUUUUGGAUACAAAGGAUGGACGCCAAACUUGGGCGUCACUGGUUGUUGUGGGAGUAUCAUUUAAGUUGAAAUAAUUUGGGCAGGAAGAAGAGGAAGCCAUUUUUAAGAAGGUUUCGAAGAAAGCCUUAAGAACACUAAAGUUUCAGAAAAUGAAGGAAGUUAAGUUGAAACGCAGUUGCUCCAAUCAAGUUUUGCAAAGGCAAUAUCUAUAGGAGGAAAUAUGGCUACAGUUUUUUCAGGAUCCCAAUAUCUUUUCGGAUCCCCAUAUUCUCUUUUUCUUUCCCAGAGUCCAAAACUUCACGUGGCCUCCAUGAAUGUUUGUCGGCACUUUCGGCGUUUUCAAAGUAUUAUUUUCGUCAAAAGCCGAUCUUGCUUUGCGGAUUUCACGGAGCUAUUUUUUUCAAAAGUACCCCGAGAAUCUCGCAAUUUUCCUAUGGUUAAUUUGAAAUUCACCGGUUCUACCUAUUCCUCUUAUUUGUGUAUAAAUGUGUUACUAAUGAAAUUUUCUUUGCAGAAGACAUCCAGUUUUCUCCAUACCUAGUGAUGUGAUAUCUACUUGUUUUUCUUAUCAGUGAGCACUUAAUAUGCCCGAGAAGCAAGACUAUCUCUGAUCAUCCAUUCAGGAAGCGAGACUAUCCCUGAUCACGUUUCCGCCACAUCAGGGAACUGUGAAGGCAACCUUAUGCUCUAAUCUCCGGAAGUUCUUCUAAACUAGAAGAAAUGAGAGCUUGUUGUUUGCUCCCACCAGCUUCCUUCCUUGAUUGCUGAGCUUGUUGUCUGCUCCCACCAGCUUUCUUCCUUGAUUGCUUAUCUUCUCUUGCAAUCAAUAUCACAUUAUUUUUGCAUUUUUUUCUCUUUUUAUAACUCUCUGUUCAUAAGAGAUUUUAUUUCUUUAGAAUGAACAUCUGAAGAAAGAAUCCAUGGAGUGAUCCUAACUCUGAGGGUUAUUUGUUUUUGACAGAGAAAAGAGUUGUGAUUUUGCUCUUGCAUGAUAUAACUAGAUCAUCAAGCGCUACAUUAUAUUUACUGGGCCGAUACGAGCUUGAAUGAUACUUGAGAAAAGUUUCUCCCACCUAAGGAUGUAAGCAAUAUUUGUGUUAUUAUAUGCUUAUAUACUUAUUUGAUAUUUUAUCUUGAAAGGUAACCAAAUGGGGAGAUAAGUCUGUUCCAAAAGAAUGGCUUGUAUGUAUCCAUGAAUUAUUAAUGCAAAUUUUACAGAUUGCAAGUUGGAUACAUUGAUAAUACACUGCACAGAUUAAAGUCCCAUAAGAACAGAAUAUGGGUAUAGCAGUGAUCAAUAUGAUGUACGCCUGUUGCGUAGCAAAUGAUGUGGAUUGAAGUCCCGAAAGGACAAUCCUUUGACAUGUCAAUAUUGAUAUUGUGCACGCCUAAUGCGUAGCAAAUUGUAUGGGUUAAAGUCCCAGAAAUUAAUUGACAUGUAUGUAUUAAUCUGUGGCAUGCCUGCAGCAUGACAGAUAUAUGGGUUCUAAAUGUUCCAACUCCUUAAAUAGAGAUUAUCCAUGUCCUACUGUAAAAUAACGCUCCAUUGGAGGUUAUAAUCCACAUUCUCACAUAAUAAAAGCCCCAUGAAGUGGCUUGGGUACCCAAAAGCAAAGAAAUGCUUAUAAUUGAUGCAUGCACGUGCAAAUGAGAAUGAUGGGAUCAUGAAUUGAUGAAUGACAAUUUUUGGUUUUGGAGUAGCUACUCAAAUCAUCAAUGGGAUGUGUUAAUUGGAACCACGUUCAAUUAUUAAAUGUCGACAAUAUCAUUGGCCAAAAUGGAAUGAGGUAAUUCCAUUAUAGAUGAGAAUGAACGUGAAAGAACAAACCCACAGUACGAACCCCAAAAGAUGUUAAUAUUGAAAGUUAUACUUGGGUGUUCGGAAUAGAAGGGAAUAUAUCUACUUUGUAUGACACAAUAUUUUUGGCAUAAAUAAGGAACAUUGGAUUUUCUCCAUAUUUAUAGAUUCAAUUGUGCCCCUUUAUUGCACAUUUACGGAGACCAACAUAUUAUCUUUAAGGGGUAUUAAAUGCACAGAGCAUAUUGCCAGAAGCGAUUCCCUAAAGAUGUAUAAAUAGCUGGAUUAAAGCUAUAUAAUGUGUCAUAAAGUUUAAUCCCUUUAAACAAAAUCCUUGAAAGGAUUGAAAUUGCAUGAAGCAAGUCCCUGAAGGACAUGUGCCUGAAGCACAAAAUCUGUACUCAAUACUAAUGUGCAUAAAUUGUCUCAGUGAGUACAUGGAUUAUAAUGUGUUUGCAACACAUUAAAGCUUCUGAAGAGUUCAAGAAAUAUUUGUCUCGACUUAAGGAUCGAGCAUUAUGCCAACGAGAUUCUUGCUUAUACUAAGAAAGUAUUGAAGCAUUUUUAUGAGGAUUAUCCGUUGAACACUUUAAUGAUUUUCCGGAAGUAUAUUGGACCGGACAUCAUAUUUUUCAGAUAGGGCUCAACUCCAUCACCAUCAUUUUGGGAUGAUGUGAGGUAUAUUUGAUGCUAUCUCCGCAUAACACCAUGUACGGGCAUAUUCUUUUAAGUGAACUUACAAAUAGCCCAAAUUUUGUUAGAAACGCGGACUCUGAAAAUUUCUAUGAUUUACAUAGAGAUAGCUCACUGGAAAUAUAUUUACUUACUCAACUACGAGAAUUAUUAAUGGCUAUAUCCUCUACUCACUCCGAAAGAUUCUCACUCCAAAGGAUAGUCAUGAAGACAUCAGGGGGAGAUAUUCAUCAGGGGGAGCAUCCAGAACUAUGCUGCACUGAUUACUAUAAUCUUCUUCAUUCCAUCAGUUUUCUACCUCAUUGGGUUUUCUUCAAGCAAAUCUUUAAUGAUGCAACCGACAUGUCAUUUGUGGUCUCCAAGGGGGAGUGUUGUAAAUAAUAUUGGUGAAGCCCACAUAAAGAGAAAUGAUGGAAGAAAAAUGAUGGUGUUGAGUAUGGUAGUCAAAAGAAGAAAUGAUGGUGUUAGAAGUGGGAUGAUUAGUCAAAAGAUGAAAUUAUAAUGUUGGGGAGAAAUCAUUAUGUCUCUAUUAGAAGCCUUUUACUUUGCCUAUAAAUAGGCUUGCUCAUUCACUUAUAAGACACACCAAAAUGAAGAGAAGAAUGAGUGAGGAAAGAAAGAAAGGAAGAGAAGGAAGAAAGAGGGUGAGUGAGUUGAGAGGAAAGAGAGCAAGAGAGAAAUUCUCCAAGAGAGAAAAUUGAGUGAGCCAUACUUAUUGUAAACACUAAAGUUGUAGCCCUAUUAUUUUACAUAGUGGAAAAGUUACUACUGCUGCUCUCCGGGGACGUAGACAUAGCCGAACCUCGUUAAAUACUGUGUCUCAUCUACUUUACGUGCAGCUCAAUAUUUGCACAUAUCCCAGUUAUUUUACAACAGUUGUUAUAAUCUUGAAGGAAUCCUUAUGUGCAGCGGCGGGCCAUGGGCCCCCUCCUCCCCCUCUCUUUUUACCUCUCUCAUAUAUUAUAUAAUGUAAUAUAUAUAUAUAUAUAUAUAACCUACUAAUAGAUAAUUUGUAAUUUAAAUUAAUGGCUCCUUUAAAAAUAAUUAGACAUGAUUAAUUUUGAAAAUCUUAGUUCAAACAUGUGUUUUGAAUAGUUAUAUGUAUUUGAUAUACUUGUGUUUUAUAUCUCGGCCCCCCAAUCUUACAAUUCUAACCCCGCCCCUGCUUUAUGUGGUUUUGAGGUAAAUAUGUGUGGGGUUAUAAAGGCUUUUUAAGUAUUGUAUACUUGAGUUGUCCUAAUAGUUCUAUAUUGCUCUUGAUUUAUUGACAGUGGCUUGUUCAAGGAAUAUGGUAGAGUUGAGCUCCACAAGGCCAUUAAGUAAUCGACAUCUAGUUCUUAAUGAUUAUUCGACCAAGCGGGAGACUAAGACAUUAAGAAAUGUACGAGCUCGGUGUCAAUUGAGAGCUCAACUGCAGCCAGACUUGUCGUCUUUGAAUAAGUGGUGUUUUAGCAUAAUUCAAGGGCUAAACGGGGUUCCUUAUUAUAGGUGGAUUAGGACCAAUCUCGGCCGGGUUUUGGAGCUGGAGCCCGACUUUGUUGAAGCUUGGAGCUCGAAUAAAUGCGGCCUUGUUCCGUCGGGAGGAGCUGGGCUUUGUGAAUGCAACCGGGCAGCUCGAACUUGGCUGAAGGGUUUCGAUCGGAUUUUGGUCGAAUAGGGCUAGAGAAUGAGGCCCAGUUUUUUCACGAUCUAAUGCGUAAGGGGCUGCGAGGAUUCCUGCGACCAGUGCUUUGGGCUUCUUGGUGGCUAGAGAUCUCGGCCGGAAUUGGAGGAGUUUGCGGGCGGGAUUAUUGGAGAUCUCGGCCGGCUAUUGAGUUGUUUGUUGCGACUGAUUUUUUUGUGCUAGGGGCCAAUAGUUUUGGGUGGUCGAGAUUUGGAAGUGUUGGAGUCUUGGAGAAUUGCGGCUGGAGCUUAUUUUGGUCUCAAGAAUUAGGGCUAAAAGGGUUUUGAGCUGGAUACAUGUAUAUAUAUAAAAAUAUGCAUAUAUGGAUAAGUGAGUUCAAAUAAAAGGGGGCUAGAACAUCAACAUAGGCGGCCUGGAUGAGAGGGCUUUGUUGGAAGCUUAAUAUUAUAUUUAUAUGUUUAUAUAUAUAUAUAUAUGCGAAUGAUGUGGCCGGAUCUUUAGUUUUGAGCAGACAGGGCGCAUGGGUUUCUUUGCAAAUCGGGCUACAUGUUUUUAGGUUGGAGUCCAAUAUGUAUAUAUAUGAACGAACGAAUGCAAGUUGCUGUUGUAGUCUUUUGGUGUUGGCAGAUUGAGAUGGAGGGUGUGCAGGACAAAAGACAUAUAUAUAUAAAUUUAUAAUAGUAGAAGAACAGAAAAGAUAUCAAAGCAUCCUAACUCAACAUUCAGACUAAUACAGCAAAAUAAUGCAUAUAUGAAAUUACUUAAAAUAGAGAUAAUUUGAAAAUAACAAUUUUAUUUAUACUCACAAAAGCAACUGCAACUUCAAGCUUCACACUCAGUAUUUACAAGGGUGAUUUUCUCCAAAAAUGUUUCAGAGAGAAUCUAUAUAACUGAAUUGAAAAGAACGGUCUGCUUACAACUGAGGCCGAAGCCAGCUUAAAUAGAUAAAAGCAACUAUGGUUUGUACAACUAGAGUAAAGAGUAACCGAGGUUAAUGCAACUGUAGAGGCACGGGUAUUCAACCUGAUUCAACUUUCAAUUUUGUCUUCUUCUGGGAAAUUAUUUUCUCUUUCGGCAACUUUCGGUGAUGGGAUCAAAAGCAAACAGUGAAAGCAGACAGAAAUGACAUCUGUACCAUCCACUUUUGAAGAUGCUUCAACUGGAGCAAUUAUUAUGUCUGCAACUAGGAGCUUAGUUAGAGUGCAAGUCAUAGGCAUCGUAUGGAUCCUGACUGUCUUCAUACCAUGACUUUGGCUUGGCAGGGCUUUGCAUGGGCUGGCAACUGGACGAUGAAGGAGAAACAUUGUCUUCAUCAUCAUCCAUCUGGGAGGCUUGAAUGAUCAACUGGCGAGCAAUUUCUUGGAGCUCAGACUUAGAUUUUCUUUCGACUGAGAGGGAAGAUCGGACUGAACCAGUAGGAGAGACUGGGCGCGGAAUAGGCUCAUGAGGAAGAUCAUUGUAGACAUAUUUAGCAAUUCUGUCAACUUCAAAUUUAUCCCACCAUUUAACAGAAAAUUGGCGAGCAAAUAUUCUGGCAUCCUUGGUGAUUCUGUAAGACCAUUUGAGAAUCCAAGGGACUUUAUAUCUGGCAAUAAAAAAGCAACUGUUUUGGGAAGAACAAAUCAAUUUUGGAGAACUUGGCUUGUUUAGUGUAGUGGCGGAUUAACUCAUGGAUUGAAACAGGCAAAAUUUGAUCAACUGGACUAUGUUUUUCCCACCAAUGGAGGAACCAAAAAGGGAAAGAACAUUUGAACUUGUUGUCGAAAGUGAUAAACCAGGAAUGACUAAAAUCUUCAGAUUGGUGAAGGAAAAUAGUAUACCAGGCUUCAAUAUAAUCAGAAUAAUUAUAUUGCAAUUUUGAUUUAACGAGUUUCAACUCAUAAGGGCGGCUACUGAAAGACUCUUGGCUUAAGAUUCUGUGAAUAUACAUGGAAUGAUAAAGGAUGAUCUCAAGGUGAUCUCGAUCCUUUAUCGGCUUAAUUUCAACUGACUGGGUUUCAAGUAGUAUAUCUCUAUAAUACUUGAGAGACUUAUAAGGACUGGGUGGCAUGUAAUGAAAUCCAAGAGGGAAAUAGUGCUUGGCUAUUUCAAUGGGAUCUGUAUGAAUAUCAUAGACGGGCUCAAUGACAAAUAUGUGAGAAUUACUUUUGGGCAAAUAAGGGGAUGAUUUUUUGAAGGCAACUGAGGGACCAACUGAAGGAUCAACUGAAAAAGGGUCAUAACUAGAAACUAGGUUUAACUGAUAACUGGGGCGAAUUUGGCCAACUGUGGAUCCUAGGGUAGAGAAUCUAUUAGCAACUAAUAUUGGUGUAGCUACUGAAAUGGGAGUGCAACCAGGAAAAGGAACUAUCUGUUUGGGCAUUUCUGACUUUUCUGGCUUAUUUUCGCUCAUGGAUGAAGGAAGGGUUCGAAGCGACUUGGGUGACUUAGGUUGACUGGCUGAUUCUUUCUGCUUGUCUUUUUUGGGUGCCAUUGUGCAUCCUGCAAGAAUUCUCGAGUAAGAAAAUUAGGGAUUGAAUUCUCACUACCUCUCAGAUAUUCAAUAUCAAAAUCAAAUAUACUUAAAAUACUUUGCCAUCGUGCAAAAAUUUGUUUAGAUGCAAUGUUUUGACUAUCUUUUUCUAAAACAUGUUUUGCAGACUUACAAUCGACUCGUAUUAAAAACUUAUGAUUGAGCAAAUCAUCUUGGAAUUUACUAAUACAUAAUACAAUAGCUAAUAUUUCUUUUUUAAUAGUACUAUAAUUAUAUUGCAACUGGGUCCAAGUUCCAGAAUGGAAAUGAACAAUCUGUUCUGGAGAUUUUGGACAGGCUUUUUGUUUGAGGAUACCACGAUAACCAAUAUCGGAGGCAUCAGUUUCAAAUUUUAAAAGAAUCGACUGAAGGGAUACCAAGACAGGAAAAUGUCUUGACAUGAGCUUUGAUUUGACGAACAAUUUCAGUAUGGAGCAAUCUAUCAAAUAAGGACUUACAUUGUUUUCUCAGAUUUUGGUAAAAGUCAGAAAUGUAAUUUAGAGAUCCUAAGAACCUAUGGAGUUGACUUUUAUCAAGAAUUUGAUCAGGAAAUUUGUCAGCAAACUGAAUGACUCGAUCAAUUGGGGAGAUUUGUGACUGGCAUAUAUUGAAACCAAGAAACCUGAGAUUGGUUUGGAAUAAUUUGAUUUUCUUGGCGGAGACAACUAGACCAUUUUGUUUGACAACCUGAACGAAUUUAUGCAAAUGUUUCCAAUGCUGUUAUAUAGACUCAGAAAAGAUGAGAACAUCAUCGAUAUAGACAAUUGAGAAAUGGCUGUAAGGAUUAAAGAUAUCAUUUAUAAUAUUUUGGAAUUCACUAGGGGCAUUUUUUAGACCAAAUGGCAUAACAUUUCAUUCGUAAUGACCAAAGGGAGUAACAAAUGCAGUCUUAUCUUCUAUCUAUCUGACUCUUCUAUUUGGAUUUGCCAGAAACCACUCUUCAUGUCAAAUUUGGAAUAAACAACUGCUUUUCCUAACCGAUUAAUAAGAUCUCUUUUAUUAGGUAUGGGAUACCUAAUCCAUUCUAGAACUGAGUUAAAUGGCUUGUAGUUGAUAACUAAUCUCGGGACUCCUCUUUCUAGCUCAACAUUUUUCUGUACAUAAAAAGCAGGACAUGACCAAGGGGACUUGCUUUUACGGAUUAUUUUCUUUUGAAGCAAUUCACUAAUUUCUUUUUUACAGAACUUCAUUAUUUCUUGACUCAUCUGGAUUGGUCGGGCUUUGGUAGGAAUGUUCUUUUCACUAAAGGUUUUGAUAUAGGGAAGACAGACAACAUGUUGCUUCCUAAACCAAAAAGCAUUAGGCAACUCAGAGCAGAUCUCAUGUUUCAAUUUGUGUUUCAAAAUGCUGAAUUUGCAACUGUAACGAUUUAUCAGUAAGUUGUUGUUCAAUUCUUUUAAAUCUAAUUUCUUCUUUAAGAAAAUUCAACUGGUUAUUUUUUUGAAUGAUUUGUAUUGACUUAGACACAGACUGUUUUUGUAGAGCUUUUAAAUUAUGCAACUCUGGCUUAGACAGAAAUUCAAAUUUGACCUUUUCGCCUAAUUGGGUAGAGAUAACACCAUCAUAUUCUACCUGGAAAGGAUACAACAAGGCAAUAAAAGGUAAACCUAGAAUGACUUCGUCAAUAAUAUUUUUGAUUAAGACAAAUGAGGUUUUAAAACAGACUUUGUUCUGGCAUAUAUGGGCUUUAGGUAAUUCAAAAUUCAACUGGAGUGACUUUUCUGAAGCAGUACUUAAGGAUUCUCUAGACUUCUUGUAAUAUAUAGUAGGAAUUAGACCUUCCUGAAUACAGUUAAGGUCGGCUCCUGAAUCAAAUAAGGCAACUGUAGUGAAUUCAAAAUCUUGAAUAAAAAUAGUGACUUUUGAAUACCAUUUUCUAAAAUUAACUUACUUAAUUAAAUUGACAACUUAUUGGCUUUCAGGAGUUUCAUCAUCAGAAUUGACAGGACUUUCAGAUUCGCUUUUAGGCUGAAAAGACGACUCUUUGUUUCUGAGACUGGCUAAGUCUUGCUUAAUUGUAUAAUUUUCACUUUGUAACUUCUGGCUUACCUGUUUUAAUUCAAUUAAUUCUUUUUUAACGUUUUUGACUUCUAAUUGGAGGUCUUGUAAGGUUAUUUCUUUCUUCUGGGUAAAUUUUUCUAAAGUAGUGUUUAAACUAACUGGCUGAGGGUUAGAACGACUUGGGCUUUCUUGACUAAUGACCUUUUUUAACUUCUUUAAAUAUUCUGACUUUAAUUCAGGAUUCUUAACUCAGCUUAUUAGGUCUAUUAGUAAUUCUUCUUGUUCUUCCUGUUUAGUAAGAACAUAAAGAGAUUUUAAUCUAUUACAGCAUUUAUCUAUGCAACCAAACUGGAUAUCAGGUGAACUAGACUGUGAUCCUGACGACUGGGCAGAAUCAGACUCAGAACUGGCUAUUAAGGUUUCAGCACUGCUUGUCUCAGAGUCUCGCAACUCUAAAAUUUUUAUCAAUUUUUCUUUCUCUUCAUCUGUAAUCUGUAAUUGUUUAAUAGUGUCUUUUAUUUUGCAUUCAGAAGCAUAAUGACCAAAUUUUUGACAUUUGAAGCAUUUGACUUUGGUUUUAUCACUCUUUCUUUUAAAAUGGCGAUUCUUUUGACCUGUUGGGCCUUUUGACCAAUUUUUCUUGGGGGAAAAUUUCUUUUUCUUAUAGAAAUCCUGAUUAUCAGGCUUAGAAAAUUGUUUUCUCCGGGAAUAAAAACGACUUUUCCUAAGGUGACUAGGCUUAUUUUUCCUGGAAGGAGGGAUGCUAGUAAGACCGUAUUGCUCACAGAAAUUACAUAAUUCAUACUUGGCUGAUUUCCUAUCGGACUGGAUUUGUCUACCAAUUUUAAAAUCAAUACACAUUUUCAUGCCAACUUGGUUAAUUGUACUUAUAAUAUUUCCGUAUGUCAAAUUGUCCCAAUCUAUAUGACCUUGCUCAUUACUCAGGGUUGUUCGAAUUUUGUGGGCAAAUAAAUUUAGAAGACCAUUAACAAAUUUUUCUUUCCAGAAAGGUUGAUUACUAUCAUCUCUGAGCAUAACUUUGGAGAUGAAGACAUCUUUGUACCAUCUGAAAUCAGACAAUUUAGGGCAUCUGAGGUUACUUAAUUGGUCAUGGAUCCUAGCAGUGGUGUUACUAGGGGUUCCUAUGAAAUGUUCAAUUAUCGUAUAAAACAAAGUGUUGACUCCGUCUUCUAUACCUUGACCUAUUUGUUCGUCAAAUAUAGGGAGACCAUCUUCAUUAAGUUUUACUGCAUAAGUGAUUCGACUUUUAGACUCAGGGGUCAGAUGUUUAUCCCACCAUUACCUGAGAGUACCGGUAAAACCAGUGACUAACAGGGGGACAAUUUCAGACUGUCUGAAACUGUGAUUGGUGAUGUAACUAUUGGCAACCAUUGACAUAUGUUGUAACUUAUUCAGAAUUUCUUGCUCAGAAAGACCAUCAAUAUUCCAUUCAUACAAUUUAUCAGAAGAAACUGAAAACUGAGUUUGGAAGUUUCUUUCUUCGAAUUGAAUGUCUGGAGGUGUUGGUCUAGGUACCAGUUCUUAGUUAAACUAGUGAGGCUUAUUUGUUUUUCUAAUUUUUUGAUUCUGGGUUCAACUUCUAAGUUUUUAAAGGCAUUUUCAAUUUUUGAGAUGUUACUGGUGUCGGACUCGGACUCAAAGGAGUUAUCAACUGCAAAAGAAUCUAGUGUUUUAAGACCAGAUUUGUCGACUUUCUCAAUUUUGCUUGGGGUCAACUGCUCUAACAUUUCUUCAAUUUUCUUCAUUGUAGGUUUUAUCUUAAGCGUAGGACUCGACUUAAGAUCCUGAAACUGAACUAUUGGUUUUUCAACUUUUGUUUUAGGCUUAGUUUCUGGGGAACUCAUCUUGUCUAUCUUAGUUUCAAUUGUAUCUAAUUGCUUUUCUAUGACGAUUAAACUCUGGUUUGUGUAAUUAUUCUGCUCAAUAAGUCUUCUAUUAUCAUCAUUACUUUCAAAGGUUUUGAAAGGAGUAGCAGGUAUAGGCGUGUUCUUGUGUUCAAUUAUUAUGGUAUCAACUGGAGGAUGACUGGAUUCAACUACGGACUUAUCUACCAUUUUUCAUUUUUCUUUAGUCAAAGUUUUUAACUCAUCAUUGGACAUAUAACGGCUUUCAAUAAAAUCAAGGUAAAAGAUUUCAACUUUGGCUGACCGCAUGUAAUCUUUCCAUUCAUUAAAGAUUUUCUGACGGCUUUCACUAGCAGGGUAGGCUUGAUGAUAACUAUCUCUUCUGGACUGAUUUUUCGGGGCUUUAAGAUGGCGGUUUAAACGUGUCCAAUUAAUUUCAAAUUUUUUAUUAAGGGUUCUAAGUUGAUUAUCAACUGGUGCAAAAUUAUCAACUACGAAAUCAGAUUGCGUUGGUGACUCGGGUGAUUCUGACUUAUCUUCUUGAACUGGAGCCUUGCCGUAAUAAGGUUGGGUUACCUGAGAGGAUUUUCUCAAGGACUCAAGUUUGAAGUCAAUCAUGGCUUUUUCUAAUUCUAAGUCUCGUUCUAAAGUAGAGGACGAGGCAGUAAAGGAAUGCCUAGUAGGGGCAUACCUUUGAGACUGACCAGGGGUCGGCAACUGUUGCAACUGGACAUUAGAUUUUCUCAGAGGUUGAUUUUCAAAUUUAAUUUUUACUGUGUCUUCUAAAUAUUGUUGAAUAUAGUCUAAUUUGUUUAGACUACAUUGGAUUGGAGGUGGUUGGCUCUCAGUGACUAGGGUCCAAUCUUUUGGAAGGGCAACUUCUGACCACUUAAUGGUUUGGGGAACUUGAAUAUGGGCGUCUGAAGUAUGACUCUGGAUUAAAAUAGUUUGGUCUUUUGGGCUUUUAUUAAGGGCUUGGAAAUUCAUAUUGGUACCUGUGACUUUGUAAUAAAUUCUGUAAACUAAGGCUAAAGGUUGGGUUCUUGGGAGGACAUUAUAACCUUCAGUCUUAAUAUUCAGAGUUAAAGUUUUCAGAAUAUGAGGAUCACUAAGACUUACAGUGAAAUCAGGAAAACAAUCAAAAUGAACUGGGCCAUUACACAAACUGGACUCAAUGACUCCUAAGGUGCUAUCACUGAACUCAGUAAAUCUAGCAUCACGCAAACAAAGAAGAAUUGAGGCUUUCAAUCCUAAUCUGGUUAGGGGUUUAACAGCAACUUGAACUAAACCAAUAUGCAGAAAAUUAUUAUCGUCAUUUUUCUGUUUCUUAAUUGAAUCAAGAUUAAGCAACUGGCAGGUUUCAUGUUCUUUACUUAAGGCAUACACUUGUUUCAACUGUCUUAACAUGAGUUGUGCUAUUAAAACUGGAAGGCAACCAAUGUUUCUUGUAAAUUUUUUGACUUGGGACUUUAGGUAUGUUCCAAUCUCUAAAGUCUAAUUGUUCUUUACAACUAGAAUCAUAUUCAAAUUGUUCCUCAUUAACUAUCUCUGGGAGUCGGCUUAUACUGGUUUUAGAACUGUUUGACUUACAGGAAUUUGUUCUAAGAAAACGACCCAUGGCUACUCAAGUGUUUGGAUUUGACUGUCUGAGGAAGAAGAUAAACAGAGACUUCCUAAACUGACCGUUUACCCUAAAAGAAACCUAUUAACCUCUCUUAAUUUUCUGUCUCCUGCCCACCGCUCAGGCCCUCUACACUGGGGACUUACUGACUUGGAAAAAGGACUCACGGGUCAGACCUUAAAGAAAGAUUAACAAAUAACUCAGAGAAUAAAAGGGAAGGAAAGGAAGAAAAUGAAGAACUUCUACUCUGAAGCUUAAACCAGCCACUUGGGCGGAAAUGAGUAGCAGACCUCGACAAAGACCAUAACUCUUAUGGCUCUGAUACCAAAACAAAGGAACGAACACAACAGAGAUAGUAGAAGAACAUAAAAGAUAUCAAAGCAUCCUAACUCAACAUUCAGACUAAUGCAGCAAAAUAAUGCAUAUAUAUAAUAUAUAUGUGGCUGAAGCCUUUGAAGCUCUUGCAAAUAUGUGAUGGUCUUUUGAGUUUUAAGCCCUCCGUAUAUUAUUUUAUGCUUAAAUGUAUAUUUAAAAUUUAAUAUAUAUUAUAUGGGUAACAAUGCAAGAGAAAUCAGAUGCCCAAGUUUAAGCCAACGAUUCAAGUUCAGAUUUUCGGAGGAUUAUGUGCACGCGACGGAGGCCUCACAAGAAAAGAAAUCAAUGAAUUUUUUUAUAGUAACUUUGAGUGUUCCAAAGCAAGGAAGAAUCAAGCAUGUUAGAAUAUCUCAAUUAAUGCAAUCCUACGAAUUUAGAGGGGGCCUUGGAAGGAAAGAAGUUUUAAAAGAGUUGACCUUUGGCCAUUCAAUGGGCAGCCCAUAGGCUGACGAGUGCCCUAUAUAAACUUUGCUCGACGAAGGCAGAAGACACACAACAUUAGACAAACAAACUUAUCUUUCGUCUCGCACUUUUCUUUUCCUAAAGUUAGGAUUUUACUUUUCAAGCACCUAGUGUAGUGAGUUCUUCAUAUUUCUAGUGUAAGUUAUAUUUCUCUUGUCAUUUAAAUUCUUGUUCGAUUUAUAUUUCUUGUCAUUUAAUUUCAAGUCUAUUUCGAUUCUUUUACAUUUCACUGUUAUCACACUUCAAUUAAGUUUAAUUUCAAGUUUGUUUAUUUUAUCGUUCUUAUCGCGUUUAUUUCGAUUCCUUUACAUUUCAUUGUUAUCGCACUUCAAUUCUUGUCUUUACGUUUAUACGCAUAUUUAGUUUAAUUGCAUUAUUUUACAUAAAACCCUAAAAAUCACAAAAACAUCCGAACGAAACCUAACCAUUCUCGAGCUCGAGAAAGUGAAAGAAUCUAGGCCAAGAGGGGGUUCCUUGCUUGGCCGAUCAAUCGUUUGGUCAGAAGUUAGAAGCGCAACACAUCCAUCUAUUUAUAUUCCAUUCAAGCCCAAAUUCGGGGCUUGGUGGUGGCACGCCCCGCAUCCAAAAGAAGAAGGACCAAAAGUUUCUUUCGUCGACUGCCCCGGCCGAAAAAAGGGAAUAGCUGCCACACACAACUCUAAAGCAUUUCAUACCUGAUAUAGAUUAAGAGAAGAACGAGCCGGACAAUAAUGAAAAAGAUUUUCUCAACCUUUUCCAAUACGAACUAAGAGUAAGGAAAUUGAGCAAGCUCGUGAGCUACUCUAGCAAUUGUAUUAUAGUAUACUUGGACGACAUUGAAACAAAAUACAAGAAAAUGAUCAGCCAGGCGCACUCAGCAAUAGCAAGGCAAUGACUUUGACAUAACAGACAAACCACUUAAAAACCCAUCACGCUCGAUCAGACAACGACUUUGACAUGAGCAGGAACAAUAUGGUAUCUAAUUUUAGUGAUCCUAAAAGAAAGCAUUUCUCGCAUUUCUUUUUGUUUCUUAGAACACUUCUUCCACCCAUCUUCUUUUGCAAUAGCAAAAGAUGGUUUAGGCUCCAAAAAGACCUCCACAAAGGAAAGGUUGUCAUGACAAGAAGUGGGUCUACGAAACUGGGCAAACCCAAAGACAAGGCUUGCCUGCAUGCUGACAUGAGCAUGACAUCAUCAGUCAAUUUACAUAUCAAAAAAAUUAUAUAAAAAAAUUAUUAUUUUUUGUUCUAUAAAUACCUAACCAUGUUCUUCAUUUCUCACACCAUAAUUCAUACAAAUUCCUCUCAUUAUAUCUCAUGUAAAUAGUGGUUCCCAUGGAAAUGGGUGAGAAUGCAUCAAAAAAUUGCGAGAGCAAUCACUAUUCAUAUGAAUAGUGUUUGCCCGUACUUGUCUUGUUUUCUUAACCAAAAAAAAAACAAAACAAAACAAAAUGAUAGUUAGUGGGCUACCACUCUAAGUCGGGUCAUUGUUUAUUGAAAGCUCUUUUUAGGAGGUUCUUUACAAGACUUAAACCCCUGACCUCCCUAAAGAUGGUACUCAGAGACAUUACCAAUACUUACCUUGCUCUUUACCAGGGCACAAUGGGUUAAAAGUGCUCUUAGUGAACUUUCAAGUGUUGAUUUUCCCAGCCCAUUGUGAAAAAGUGUUGUGGACAGUGGACACUAACACUAACUUGUCUCUUUCUUUUUUAUCUGGUUAAUAUUGGAGGUGUCGAAUGUCAAAAAGCAUUCCAACCUGUGAAAGAUAUGUUUUUGUCUUUUUUUUCCGGUCGAACAACAAUCAUUUAAUUGUUCAAACCACUAAAAAAGAAAAACAAUGACGAAAGUACUAUUAAGAAUCAUGUAAUGGGUUCUUUGCCAAAACAAUCCAACUUCCAUGGACCAUACCAUUUACAGUUGAAGAUAUUUGGCAUAUGUUACAAUCUUUUAAAUGUCUUCCUGUCACAUUCAACCAAGAGUACUUGAUUGUUGCUUUUAGAUUGUGCAACCCAAUUCAUCCUCAAUAGGGGCGGUGCCCCUACUGCCCCAUUAUUUUGACUCAUCAUGAUUAGUGUCUAGCUUUCUUAAUAUCUGAAUUGAUCCUAACAUUAAUUACUUUCACGACAACUACUUAUAGCUUACGUAUAGAAUUAACAUAAAGAUAACAAGCAUUAUACACAUCACAAUCAUGAAAGGCUCUUCACCACGAACAUAAAGUAAGGACCCAUAACUAAAACGUGAGAAUCCCAAUCUUAAAGUUGAAUAGGACAUGGAGAGAGAGAGAGAGAGAGAGAGAGAGAGAGAGAGAGAGGGCAAAAGCUUCGUUUGAUACUUGAUGGUAUCCUUCCUUCUUAAUUAAAUAAAUAAUACUAUGUGUUCUCCUAGAGAGGCAAACCUGGCUCAUUUUUCUCUCUCCCCCUCGGAUGCUUCCAUUCUUUUUGGCUUCUUUGAGAGUUGAAGGCAAGCCAUGGAUGUUCAGAAGAGCAACACAGACCAUGUGGUAGUCACCAUAGACCAAUCAAACCCCAAACUAAAACAAUCACCCCAAGCAGAUCCUAAUACUGCAAUCUCACAAUCAAGAACGAAAACUUUUAGACGCCUAAACUUCUCCAAGCCCCGCUCACGGUUCGAGGAGAUUAAGCAACCUUUGCCAUCAAGAACGAUUCUCGAAUCCGAAGAACUCCAACCCUUCAACCCUUACGAAAACAACAACUCAUCUACAGACGACGAUGACGAUGAAGACUGGUAUGAAAAUGAAGAAGAUGACGAAGAAGAAGAUGGAAAACACGGAAAGCACGGAAAGAAAAGGAAGAGAAAGAUAAACAAGCGAGCUGUUAUUGAAUGGACUUUGUUUCUCAUAAUCAUGACUUGCUUGGUAUGCUCCCUAACCUUAGAUUUCCUCAUAAACAAAUUGAAAUGGGGUUUGGAGAUAUGGAAAUGGUGUCUAAUGGUCAUGGUUAUAUUUUGUGGGCGCCUAGUCUCUGGUUGGGUUGUUGGGUUUCUUGUAUUUCUUAUAGAGAGAAAUUUCAUGCUUAGAGAAAAGGUACUAUACUUUGUGUUUGGUUUGAGGAGGAGUUUCCAAAACUGUGCUUGGUUAGGCCUAGUUUUAGCUGCUUGGAUGAUCAUGUUCCCCGAUGUUCACAAGCACAGCAAGGUCCUCAAGAAAGUGUUUCGUGCCCUAAUAGCUGUGCUAAUUGGAGCCACAAUAUGGUUGCUAAAGAUCUUGUUUGUUAAAGUCUUAGCCUCCUCAUUUCAUGUAUCUACAUUCUUUGACCGCAUGAAAGAGAGCGUUUUCCACCACUACAUUUUGGAAGCCCUCUCCGGGCCACCUCUAGACGAGGACGAGAGGGAGGAGCUUCCACGACGCCCUUUCCAGGCGUCGAAGUCGUUGCCUGCGAGGUUGAGGGACAAGUCUCAGGCCAUGUCGAGGUCUAAUAGGCAAGGUUACGAGUCGAGGAGGAUUGACAUGAAGAAGCUUAGAAGGUUGAGCAUGACGAGGAGGGCAACGGCAUGGAGCGUGAAGAAGCUUGUAAACUAUGUGAGGUCUUCGGGGCUGUCGACGAUUUCAAGAACCAUAGAUGAUUUUGGAAACGCAGAGUCGGAGAUCACAAGUGAAUGGGACGCCAGGAACAGUGCUCAAAGGAUAUUCAAGAAUGUUGCUAAGCCCGGUGCCAAGUAAGUUUUUCUCACUUUCACUACUUUUUUUUAUUAAUUUCUAUCACUUUCACUAGGUGAUUUUCAAAUAACGAAACCAGCGCAUACUGUAUGCAUCAUCAUGAUGCCAACCUUCUAAUUAAUUUAUGUUAAUUAAAUUAGUAAGUGGGUAAGACACUGAUGGUUCAUCAUACAUUAGCAUCGUAAAAGUCGGUUCCAUUCUUACUUUUUCGUUUCAGAAUUACUUUUUUUUUCUUUAAAUUAUUACCAUGAGUAGUUGUCAUGAUUAAUAUCAUGGCCUAUAUUUUCAAAUUUGAAUCCUCGACCCGUUUAGUUUUUACUCCUACUCCAUGCCUGACAGGUGUGGGUGCAUCAGUAGUGUCAUCUAUCCAACACACCCAAAUAAUAAUAUAUGUUAAUGUGGGCAACAGAAGAAAAAAGAAAUUUUUUUACUUAAAGCUCUCCUAGCUACCAUAUGAUUAGCACGUUUUAUUCUAUACGAGUGAUAUUGGGUGUCUUUAACUAGUUGAGUUACAAGGUGUUUAUGUUAGAUCUUCAAUAUGAACAAACGAUUCUAUUUAUAUCGAUAAAAAACGAGUAAUAUUCGAACUUAGGAUCUCUUUUAACAUGAGAAAAAAAUUAAAUGAAUUCUUAUUUUUGUGUCAAAACGUAACAUAGGAUAUAUCAUAUAUGCCAAAAACAAUUACCUAAGACAUGCUUAAUGAGUACAUUAAUAUUAUAACAGGAGUAACGAUUUUGACUAAUCUUAGUGCCUCCUAAUUUCGAGCUUCUUUACAUACUUAAUUAAUCAACAAUUAUGGUUAAAAAUCAUUUAUAUAUAUAUAUAAUACAAAUAAAAAGGGAUUGCAGGAUGUAGUGGUACACAUAAGAAGGCACUCACUGUAUUUCAUAUGAUUCAGUAUAACUAUCAAUGGCGGUCCUUGCAUCUGCAUAUAUUCAAUCAUUCCAACGUAUGCAUAUAUGCCCAUGAGCAUAACCACGAUGAAGAUAGUGCUUCUAUGAGUAUGCCCAUUUGUAUUUUGUUUGUGUCGCAAUUUUCUUGACGAGAAACCAACCCCCCUCACACCAACACUACUGGCCUGGACCACCUGCCCACCCUACAACACUCUUUGCUUAAAACACACAUGAAGAUUGAGGGUAAAAUGCUAUUUUUCUUUCAUUUUUUGAAAUUUUUGUGACCUAAAACAAACAUAUAUAUAUAUAUAUCUGAUAAAAAUUAGCAAACUCUCUUGUGUAUACUAAGAUUGUUAUUUUAAUUACCUUUUCUUUCCUUUUUGUCCUCCUGUUCAAUGAUGCAAUUGAUAAACGUAUGGUUUACCAUAUAAGGUUUUAAGUAAAUGAAGAAAAGUAUCCUAGAGCAACUUUGUUUUCGAGCGGUCAAGUGACGCUCUUUAUCCCACUAUAGAUCCGCCACUGCACACAUAUAUGUUUUGUUUCACAAUAUUUUUCAUAUGCGUUCACUUUCAUCCUUAGAGAAAAACAAUUAAAUUUUGGUACCUAUAGCAUUUUUAUCAAUGAAAUUUUGGAAUAUUGUUGUUUGUUGUAUUACAAUACCAUAUGAAAAAUAAAUGCUAUUUGAAAAGUGCUUUAAGGAUGGCCCAAGGGUGGUUGGUGGCUUUGGAUGGAGGAAAAAGUUUCAAAGAGCACUUCCACAAUGGUGUCGGGUAGACACUAUUCACAUAAAUAGUGAUUGCCCUACCUUCUUUUAUUUUGCUUUUCCACCUCUUGACAUGGUAACUCAAUGGCAUUUACUAUUCAUAAGGGACUAAUUUUAUUUAUAUGUAUGAGAUUAAUAAUAAUUAAAAAAUUUCUAGGUAUGUAUAAAAAAAUAUUUCAAAAUAUUUUUCCAUUUUUUAACAUUUUUUUUAAAAUUGAUGAUGUCAGCGCAAUUUAGAUUAGAUUAAAGUAAUAUCUUGCUCUUAACAUUAAUUAAAUUGAAUGAUAAACCUACAUUCAAGGUUAAUAUGAUAACUAUCAACCAAGGAUAUAUGAUUCUUUUUCUUUAAAAAAUAUAUUUUUUUUGGCUACUCUCAACUAAAUAAAUAAAUAAAAUUUGGUGUUGCAAUUGUACUAGUGGUGACUUUUAUUUUUAGUUUUUGGUUUUGGUUUUGGUUUUUCAGCAUAAAACUAUCGACGUACAUCAAAUUAGAACUUGUAUUCUUUUUUGGGUACGUGCAAUUGGAAGUUUUGUUUAUAUUGUGCAUGGUAGCAAUCAGAGCUGGGACCUAUCAGCCGUCAACGAUACCAUUCUCAAGAUUUCUUCUGUAUCCUUGUUACAGAUAUAUAGAAGAGGAAGAUUUACUACGGUUCUUGAGAAGGGAUGCAAUUCACACCACAUUUCCUCUCUUUGAAGGAGCAAUUGAAACUGGAAGAAUUACAAAAUCUUCCUUCAGAAACUGGGUGGUGAGUCACAAUCAUUUGACCCUUUAAUUUGCAUGUCUUAAUUCAUCGAUCAUCUUUUGACACACUAUGUUUUGAUGGUUUCAAAGGUGCAUGCCUAUAUUGAGCGCAAAGCAUUGGCUCACUCCUUGAAUGAUACCAAGACUGCAGUGCAUCAACUCCACAAGUUGGCAAGUGGAAUCGUGAUUGUGAUCAUAAGUGUGGUGAGCCUUUUGGUGAUGGGUUUGGCCACAACCAAGGUGAUCUUUGUGGUGACCUCUCAACUGCUGCUUGUAGGCUUCAUGUUCCAAAACAUGUGCAAAACUGUGUUCGAGUCCAUCAUUUUUGUGUUCGUGAUGCAUCCAUUUGAUGUCGGUGAUCGUUGUGUGGUCGAGGGUGUGCAGGUCAGAUAUAUUACGUACUCAAUUAUUUUCUUUACCAAUGAUGUGCAUUAUACAUACAGUCUCCAUCUAUUAACGAACACCUUAUAGGAUAUCCACUACCAAUUUUAUUUCAAUGAUCUAAACCGUCUAAGUAAUGUUGAGAUUAUUUUCUUCACCAAUAUGUCUCACUAUAUAUGUUUCGUAUUUUACUUUAUAAACUUGAUAAAUAAAAAACUAGAUCAUUAUCCUUAAAUAAUAUGAUUUUUUUUUUAAAAAUAAACCAUGAUUUUAGAUUUCAAAAAAACUAUUUUAUCAAAAGAUAAAAUCUAAAUGCUCCAAAUAAGUGAGCCUAAAUUCAUUUGGAUAAAAGAAAAAUUGUGUCACAUUUUAUUGUUUGUUACUUUCUGAUGAAAUUAAUGUUCUUAUUUAUAUAUUUUGCAGAUGAUUGUAGAAGAGAUGAACAUUUUAUCAACAGUUUUCUUACGAUACGAUAAUGAGAAAAUAUACUACCCUAAUUCUGUGCUACUUACAAAGCCUAUCAGUAAUUUCAGAAGAAGUCCAGACAUGGCUGACACUGUUGAUUUCACCAUUGAUGUUUCUACUCCAGUUGAUGAUGUUUCUGCACUCAAGAAGUCUAUACAAUCGUAAGUAACAUAUCUCCUCUCCUCUACCUUCCAUAUUAUAUAAUUCACUUGUUAAAUGGCACGGCAUAAGCUUGGAAUAUUUAAAUAAAUUUUACUAUUAAUAAAGUUAUUCCUAGUCUACAUUAAGCUCUGUUUGGAAGUGCUUCUGAAAGGGCUAAAAGUUCUUAUUGACAACCAAAAACGCUUUUGAUAGCGUUUAGUAGAAAAACUUAAAAAGUGUUUUUGUGCUAGCUUUAUGAAGAAGUAUUUAUAUUUUUAAUAAAAUUUUUGACGUUAUUCUACUGAAAGCACUUCUAAAAAAUCGUUUAUGAACAUAAGUGCUUCCUACAGAAACUUUCCCAAACGACUAAAUGUUAAAUUUAAAUUUUGUUAAAGAUUUGUUUGUGGUGACAAAUGUUGCAUGGAAUGUGCGCAUGCAGAUACAUUGAGAGUAAGUCAAAGUAUUGGAACCCAAAACACUCGGUGAUAGUGAAGGAGAUUGAGAAUGUGGACAAGAUGAAAAUGACGCUAUGUGUUCAACACACCAUGAACCAUCAAAACUAUGGAGAAAAGAGUGCUCGAAGAUCAGAACUUGUGUUUGAAUUGAAGAAGAUUUUCCAAAACCUUGGCAUCGAGUAUCAUCUUCUUCCUCAAGAGGUAAAUCUCACACAAUUGAACGCAAGCAAUGGGAGGCUGACGAUACCCUCUUAGGAUCAUUAGAUAAGGGGCUUGGGUUGAUUUUACUUUUGAUUGAUUAUUUUUCCUUCUUUUUUUUUCAUUUACCAGUCAUUAAAGUACAAGUUAUGUACUGCAAUUAGCGAUGUGAUGUGAGGUGGAGUUUUGGUCAUUGCUUGUACCCAAUUUAACACACCCUGGUAAUUUAAAAAAUUUGUUCGGAUGAAUGCAAUUGAUCGCCUUUCUCUUUAAAAAAAAUUGCGUCAAAACUUAUGACUAUAAUUACCAUAUAUUAAUAGCCAUAGCAUAUAAAUGGUGUUCAUUGUAGCUAAGGCUUGCACCUUAACUUAAUUUUCAUAUAAAAACCAUAGGUGUGAGAUAAAUAUAAAUAAAAAUAAAUGCAAGGGUUUAUAAGAGCAAGAAUACUUGAAUUUGUGCUCAAUUCGCAUUUUUGGUCUUGAACUGUAAACAUGGAUGUUGUAGUCCCUCAAUUCUACUUUCUUUAAGACGGUUGGUCCUCUGUUAAAUCAUCUGUUAAAUUUAGGGAUACAAUAGUCAUUUUAAGUUUAGCCCCUAAAGCUUUUACGAACAAUGAUCCCUAAAUUUAUUACCAACUUAAAUUUUAAUCCUCCAACUCGAAUAUUAUUCUUCAACUUCACUUUUAUCUCACACCAUUGAUCCAAUGUCAUAAUCAUUUUAUGUAUGUCACCAACGUGAUUGGGCCUACAUGCCUUGCAAAGCGCAAUUUUAUGUAUCUCGCUUCUAAUUGUGUAUUAAUUAGAGGCAUGCAACGUGGUUUGCACUCAUCACCCACGUGAUUGGGCUUACACACCUUACAAAUUAGUGACCCAAUAAAUGCGGGUCGUUUAAUCAUAUGACGAUCCCCUAUCCCAAGGCAAACAUAUAAUUUAACCUUAUUAUUAUUAUUAUUAUUAUUAUGCUCUCUUUUGUUCUAAGUUGGUAGAAUUUUAAUUGUAGAUGUUCACUAGUAGUAAGAUGAAGCUCAGAACAUGUGUACCCAACUAAUUGUACAUAAGCAGCACUAGUGUGGACAAUUCUACUGAAAAAUCUAGAAAUCAAUUGAAUAGGAAACUCCGGAUAAUUCUACUGAAAAAUCUAGAAAUCAAUUGAAUAGGAAACUCCGGUCGAAUUAGGUUUGAUUUUCAUUAAUUUUGUUAUGACAGUAGUAAUAUUCUAAAUUACUCUAAUGUAUAGAGAGAGAGAUCGAACUUACAAGCAGGAAGCGGACCUACUAUCUUAACCAACUAGCCGAACCAAAUAUACUUCAAUUUUGACAGAAAGCCAGACCGGAACCAUAUUAAAUUGGUUAAAAAUGGGUUUGGUUUUAAAAUCCUUGGACCAGGUUUUUUUUUUUGGUCCAGAAAUCUUGGACCAGGUGGAUAAAUUUUAAAUAAAUAAAAAAUAUUCUCGAACCAGUCCGGUGGGAAAUCAAACCGGGAAGCCCUGCUACAAAUUGUGUUUUAAAAAAUUCAUUCUCAGUUCAGCUCUACUUCCUCUCUGCCUCCUUCCUCUUCCACUCUUCCACUCUGCCAGUCGCCAAUUUCACCCAAUUUCGAGUUACAUCUCUCUCUCACUCUCUAAAUCUUUCAAUCUUUCCAUCUUCAUCUCUUCACAACUAAUGGUCGCGGCUUCGGUUUGGUGGCAGGCUUUGGCGAAAUAACCGGCCGGACCGAAAGCGCGCAUUAGCAUUCUUCAGACUACAGCCGUUGUGUAUUCCGCACAUUUUCUUCUGUUUCUUUUUUGUGUUUUCGUUUUCCAUCGGUCCAAACAAACCCUAGGUUUUUUUCUGAGAAACUGCGGGAAAAUGCCGAGAGAGAUAAUCACAUUGCAGGUCGGACAAUGCGGGAACCAGAUAGGCAUGGAGUUCUGGAAGCAGCUCUGCCUCGAGCAUGGAAUCAGCAAAGACGGAAUUCUCGAGGACUUUGCCACUCAGGUGGUUCUUCACUCAUUUAAGAGCUUGUCUCUAUGUUUGGUUACUGAGAAAAUUCUUGUUUGGGAAAGGAAAUGGAAUUUGAAGUUGGGGAAAUGGAGCCGAGUAGCGUGCUAGGCUUAGUUUAAGUAUGUUUUGUUCUGCUAUGAAUUGAUGAAUUAAUGAAUUUUGUUCUCAGGUAGUAUAAUAAACAAUUACAAUUUAAAAAAUUGGGUUCAAUUGAGGAAAUCAAUCAGGAGCUGUGCAUUAUUUAUCUGAAUUGUGGUUGUAAGGGUCAUCAGGCAGUAGGCCAUAGCAAUAUUAUCAAGUGCUGAUCAAGAAAUAUAUAUUGAAAAUAGUUAUUCUUCAGUCCUGCUCUUGACAUAAAUGUGUAAUUAUCUUUUGAUUGAUCUACAGGGUGGUGACCGGAAAGAUGUGUUUUUCUAUCAAGCUGAUGAUCAGCACUACAUACCGCGAGCUUUGCUGAUCGACCUGGAGCCUAGAGUAAUUAACGGUAUUCAAAACAGCGAAUAUCGAAAUCUCUAUAAUCAUGAAAACAUCUUUGUUUCGGAUCAUGGAGGUGGGGCAGGAAAUAAUUGGGCCAGUGGAUAUGAUCAGGUUUGUAUGUAGUCAGGUGUUUAGAGACAAUCUCUGUAGAUACUGUUAAUUUUAUGAUAUCAAAGCUUUGUGCUUAGUUUCCAUGUAAGUGAAAUGGGGUUGUAAAUUCUGUUCAGGGAAAGGGUGUUGAAGAGGCUAUAAUGGACAUGAUUGAUAGAGAAGCUGAUGGGAGUGACAGUCUUGAAGGAUUUGUUCUGUGCCAUUCUAUUGCUGGAGGAACAGGCUCAGGUUUCUUUUCUUCUGUUUAGUGUUUAUAUUUUUAUAUUUUCCAAUCAUCUUGUAAAUAACGAAUUUGGUCCAAAUACUUUCUUCACUUUUUUUUUCGGUUGGAUUGGUCAAAAUACUUCCUAUUGACUAUAAUGCUGGGUUAAACAAGUAAAAUAUAACAUUUCAAUCUUUUUAACUUUAGAUAGCAUAUAAUUUAUGCCGGUGCUAUAUAAAGCCACCUUCAUUUGGAAGUGUGAUCAUUCCUAUAGGGAAUUAGCUACUGCAUAUGAUGUGGUGUGCUUCAAUGGCAAAAUUUAGUCAAAUUUGAGGCAAAAUCUAGCUUCGAUGGCUGUGGUGUGCUUUGUAGUAUAACACAAGUUCCCUUCUUUAUGACUUCUUAAGUUGUUUAAGGACUUUCUUGCUUGAAUAAAUUUUGAGUAUAUUCACAACAUAUGAUGCAGGCAUGGGUUCCUAUCUGUUGGAGACUUUGAAUGAUCGAUACAGCAAAAAACUGGUUCAGACAUACAGUGUAUUUCCUAACCAGAUGGAAACAAGUGAUGUGGUGGUCCAGCCCUAUAACUCACUUUUGACGCUUAAACGACUAACGCUUAAUGCUGAUUGUGUUGUGGUCCUUGAUAACACCGCCUUGAAUAGAAUUGCUGUUGAGCGUCUUCAUUUAUCAAAUCCAACCUUUGCUCAAACAAAUUCUUUGGUUUCUACUGUAAUGUCUGCCAGCACAACCACUCUGAGGUAUCCAGGGUACAUGAACAAUGAUUUGGUUGGUCUUCUUGCAUCUUUAAUUCCAACACCAAGAUGCCAUUUUCUAAUGACAGGGUAUACACCCCUCACAGUUGAGCGCCAGGUAUGAUUCACUCAUGCGUGUCAGUUGAUAACCUUAUAUUUGUCUAUUUGUGUGUUUAUUGAUACAUCCAAGUACUUAUGUGUGUGAAGGCGCAUGCUUUGAGCAAGUGUCUAAAUAAAGGGGAAUUGAUUCGGCAUCUAAUAUUGUUGCAAACAUUACGUGUUCAUUUUAUGCUUCUAAACUAUAAUUUUAGCUUUUUGAUUCAUGUAUAUCUCCUCUUGGCAGGCCAAUGUGAUUCGCAAAACCACUGUACUUGAUGUUAUGAGAAGACUUCUGCAGGUAAGAAGCUUUGAUUACCUUUUUGUUUAUCUUCGACAAAGCAAAAUUAAACAAUUCCCUGACAUUAUUCUCAUUUUGCAGACAAAAAAUAUAAUGGUUUCCUCAUAUGCUCGAACAAAAGAAGCUAGUCAAGCGAAGUACAUCUCAAUAUUAAACAUCAUUCAAGGAGAAGUUGACCCUACUCAGGUUGUAAUAAUAAUAUUAUUGUAACUUGCAUUGCGAUCCUACAGUUUUUGCAAACCAGCAAAAUCUAUAUUGAUGAAAAUAUUGAAAUGAAAUUGUGUCAAUUAUCCUAUAUAGCUGCUAAGUGUUGGCUAGAUUCUCUUAUUAUAAUAAUAAUGUCUUGAAUUUUUGUGGAAAUGUGACCCAGAAUUUCUUUGUUGUAGAAUGUUAAGCACCUUAGUUCAUCUUCUACUAUUUUCUUUUGUUUUUUCAGUGGUUUAUUAUGCCUUUUUCUGUGUAAUCAGGUUCAUGAAAGUUUGCAGAGGAUACGUGAAAGAAAGCUCGUUAACUUUAUUGAAUGGGGCCCUGCAAGCAUUCAGGUGUUUUAACACAAUACAAGAAAGUAAAUUUGUGAUCAAUCUAAUUUUGUGGACGCUAUCUGGAUAUUUGAUCUUUUACUUUCUCCUUUUCUGUGUAGGUUGCUUUGUCUAGAAAGUCUCCAUAUGUGCAAACAGCCCAUAGGGUAGGGAUCCAAUUCUUAUUUGAGAUUCUCUCAUUUGUCAGAUUUUUAUUUUGAUAAUCAAGUGUAGAAAGUCUGCACUGUAAACUCUCUUUCAUUGUUAUACUCGCACUUGAAAGUUAAUUUGAGCAAAAUUUUGCGGAUUUAUGUUUUUAGUUAAAAUAACACCCUAUUUUAUAAUAAUGAAUCUGUGUGUGUUGCUUCUUUUUAGGUCAGUGGUCUUAUGCUGGCAAGCCAUACUAGUAUUCGCCAUCUUUUCAGUAAGUGUUUGAGCCAGUAUAUGAUGUUAAGAAAGAAGCAAGCCUUUCUUGACAACUAUCGGAAGUUUCCAAUGUUUGCUGUAAGUUACCAUCCCUACAACUGUUAGUAUUUCUUGAGAUGUGGUUUCUCAAUUUCUUGAUGCCACUAUGCAGUCUUGGAUUUUUUUAAAAUAAAAAAUAACAAUUAAAAUGCUUGGCGAGAAGUUUUUGACUUAAUGAGUGCAAAUUGAUAUGCUUCAGUUGUCAUAUGCAUAUUUCAUGUAGUUAACUAAUUAGCGAAGAAGCAUGCCUUUCUUUCUGCCUCCUGUUUUUUCCUUCUUUUCGUGUUAUUCAGUUAGCAUCUUGGUGAUGGAUGAGAAAUCUUUUAGAGUGUUCCAACUUUAUGGGAUGUUUGUAAUUUUUGUGUCUCAUAUAAGUAUGACAUAAAACGUGGACAGGAGAAUGACCUUUCGGAAUUUGACGAAUCAAGAGAGAUACUUGAGAGUUUGGUUGAGGAAUAUAAGGCCUGUGAGUCCCCAGAUUACAUCAAAUGGGGAAUGGAGGUAAUUUUCACACUUGCCUAAUUUUAGCCCUCUUUUGCUCUUUUUUUUUUUUUGGUCAAACCAGUAAGUGAAUUUCUUUUCCAGGAUCCAGACCACGUUCUUACAGGAGAAGGCAAUGCAGCAGGAACAGUGGACCCAAAAUUGGCAGUAUGAACAAAUCAGGUAAAGCUACAAUUAAGGGCUCCUGUAUAAGUUUAUCUGAUUAUUUAAGACAUGUUUAUCAACUCUCUCCUCUAUCCAUCGUAGUCGUCUUCCUUUAUUUUAAGCUAACUAAAAGCUGUCCCUAAUGUUCUCAUUUCUUUUGGUGUUCACACAGGAUUGGAACAGACUGUUGCAGGUUAAGUGCUGGUGCCAAGAAGUACAUUGGAGAAGCAUUGUAAAAUACGGACUAAAUGUUGUGUUUGACUUCUUCCAGAGUGAAACGGUUUGUAAUGUAAAUUUUUUUUAUGGGUGUUUUGGUUUAGUUAAUUAUUCGUUUGUUGAAGCAAUUUUCAUUUUGAGUGGAUAUCUUUGUGCUUCCAGUUCAGAUAGGUUGGUUCAUGGAUCCUUUAGUAGCUGAUAUGUCAUUUAGUUUGAGUUAAGAAAGAUCAUUGAUGAUCCUUGAAGUUACUAUAAAACUAAAAUGAUAAAUUAAAGCGUCAAGGUAAUUCUCCGAAGAGUUUUUUUUAUGUUUGAAGCCAGCAUUUGUUUUGAGUUACCUUGCACCCCACGUUUUAAUUUAAGUCCUCAUUUUCCUAAGAAAAUCUCGUAUGUGUAUUGUCUAUGUAACCACACUAGCAAAAACCAAACAGCUACCCUAAAAGACCAACGUUGAAUCUGUCACAAUUUUUCAUUAGUUACCAUCACGUGCAACAUACAUGAUUAAAUUUUAGAGGCAUUGACCCCAAUUGUGGGUUUUGGUGAUAGUCGAGUAACCCCCAAUUAAAUGGAUGCAAACGACACUCAAUUUGAUAAAAUAAUUGGCAUAACUAACCACCAAGAGAGCAAUUGACAUGAAUGUGAAAACGUUUUUGAAGACGAGUAAUUGAUUGGGUGUUUUUAAUCUUCAAUGUAAAAACGGGUAAGUUGAAAAACAUGAAAAUAAUGAGAGUGAGGAUGGAAAAGACAAACAUAGACAUGAUAAUGGUGAAAGUAAUUAUACUAUACAAUCCAAUAAAAUUAAACAAAAAGAUUUAAGAUUAAGUUUAUUUUGAGGAGAACAACCAAAAAAAAAAAAAGGGCUAAGGAAUAAACACACUUAAAAACUCUAAUUUUUAAAGUUAAUCGCUCAAUUUUUAAUAGUCAAAACAACGGUACGGAGGAUUUGGUUGAAAAGCAAAAUUGUUAACUAUUCUUCUUUUAAAUUGUUUAAGAUCAUUAAGUAGCGGUAGAAAUUUUUUUGAUGAUAGCAAAUGCACAUAUUGAAAUAUAUUUUCUCCUCUUUUUUUUUUUUUUUUUUCCUUUUUAAUGAACAUUAAUUAAGUUAAAAUGUUACACUUUCAUACAUAAUUUAUGAUGCAACACGGAAGCACGGGUUUAUGGAUCGACAAACGUCUGAACCCGAAAAGAUAAACUAAAAUCAAUUAGCGAUUGAAAUCCACCAGAAAAUAGAGAAAAUUUAUAAAUUUGAUUAAUAAUAUGAUAAAACUAAUUAAUACAAUGCCAUGAGUUGGCUUAAAUAGAAAACCAAAAAAAAUCCUAAAACCAUAGGAAACCCUAGGUUCCAGAAUAUUCCUAAAACUUAACUAAUAAGAAAACUAAUUAAAAUCAUAUCAGGAAAAUAAUAUCCUGAUUGAUAACUUAUUCUAAAAAAAUAUAAUUAUAAUAUAAAUCUUCUCAAGAAAUCAAGCAACCCAAAAAUUCCAACGAUACACCUUCCUUCUAUUUCAAGCGCCAUAAUUGAUGCUUAACCAAAAUUUUCCUCUCUUGAACUAUUUCCUUCCAACUUUGAACCACUCUAUUUUAAUUAAUAUUUCCCACCAUAAAUGACCCAUAUCUCGUCCUACAUCAAUUUAUGAUCAAUUUUGUUCUCCAGUUAAGUGACAGAAGAGUUAGGGGAAACUGUAAUUGCAAGUUGCAACACAUCGACUCCAAACUUGUGCACUCUUUACCAAAGCGCUAAAUUUGGCAACAUUGGGUUUAGACGCAAGAACAUAGUUGAAGAAUCGAUCAUGACAUGUUUUGCCUACAUACACAAGAUCAUGGCAACAAGCAUUAGUUACACUAGCCCCGCCUUCGAAAAUACUGGCACCAACUUCCCCUGCGCACUGAAUGGAGAUAUGUUUUAUACAUUCAUACAAGAUCUUCAAAUUUAAUACCUCUGAGGUUGGAAUUGUGAUAGAAGAUGUAGGAGAAACUGUAAUUGCAACACAUGGACUCCAAACUUGUUCGCUCUUUGCCAAGGCUCUAGAUUCGCCGACAUUGGGUUUAGGCGCAAGAGCAAAGUUGAAGAAUAGAUCAUGGCAAUUUUUGCCUACAGAUGCAAGAUCAUGACAACAAGCAUCAGUUACACUAGCCUUGCCUUCGAAAAUACUUGCACCAACUUCCCGAACGCACUUAAUAGAGAUAUGUUUUUUAUAUUCAUCCAAGGUCUUUGAAAUUAAUGCCUCUGAGGUCGGAAUUCCAAAAUAUGAAAAAAUCAUUCCGGAUGGACUCACCAAAAGAAAAGUGACCAAUAAUGCAUACAUAUUGAGUGCGGCCACAGUGCUUUGUAGUACUGAAUUAGUUUUUGUUCUCUGGAAAAUGGAAAGAACUCUUGGAUGGAGAAAGUUUUAAGUAUUUGUUUAUUUUUAAGGUUUUUGUUAAGGGUCAAUGUGAUUUUGAAUAUGAAAACGUCAUGGUACCUCAUAAAUACACAACAAAUUUAAUUCAUCUCGAUAUUAAAGACUUUCUUCAACUUGGUUAAGUUACAAUACUUUGCCUACCCAAAAUCAUUUAUGAAUGAACCUAGUAAUUGUACGACAUCAACACAGUCCAAUGGUUUAUACGCAAGUUAAAAACAUUUGUUGUCAGUAACGUUUUUCACCACAAUAAGAAAGGCACUAGUUUAAUUAAGUAAUUCAUUUUUUAUUGGACAAACUACAAAAGACCACACCUCCCAAACUGUAGGGUCAUUUUCAAGUUCAUAUAUAUUUUUAGGAGAAUUAACACGAUAUACAAAAUCGCAAAAAACCUACAAUUUACCCACUUUGUUAACUAGAUCGUCACGAAAGUCAUUAUCUACCUAUAUGUGUACAAUUUUUAGAGGGCAUUUUUGGCAUCUCAUUGGAGGCUCAUAAUUGUCAACUAUAUUACACGUGGCUCUCAAUUAUUCAAAAACCAACCCUAAUCAAAAACUAAUCCCCAAAUCGAAGUUUUAUUCCCAAAUUGCAAACCAGACAAAUGAACCAAAAUCGAAAACCUAAUCCCCAAAUCAAAACCUGUUCUCCAUAUCACAUCCAUCAAAGACCACAAAGGAGGAAAUCGAGUGUGGAUUGUCAAUGGCUUUGGGUGUUCAUCGUUGUGGGAGUCGUGCUCCUCAUUAAAAUAAUUUCCUUAGCUUUACACUACAACCCCGUUUAUUUUCUUGCUUUUUGGUUUCAUUCGAGAGACUUAGGGUUUAGUUGUAACUUUUUAUUUGCUUUGAGCUAUAGUUGAGUUUAUAUAUUGAAGUUGUUUGUCAUUGGGUUUGUGAGAACGUGAUAUUGAUGGUCCUUUUGUGUCGGUGUGUGUGAGGUGUAUGUCCAUUUAAUAUCAAAAGUAGGCUAAUCUGUAUUUUUUGUUAAGGUGUAUGUCCAUCAAGUUAGUGUGGAAAUGGAUUUAUGUCUUGUGAACUACGUAUUUGGGAAUGGAUGAGUAUGUAUACAACUUGAGCCACAAAUGCAAAAUCAAUCUACGCAUUUGGAAAUUGACUAACAUUUCAUACACAAACCACUUUCAUAAACCAAUUGGAUUCUCCAAAAGACUCCAUCAAUGCCACAAAACACAUCAUCCAAACCUCCUAAAAUUAAAGUACUAGUUUCACAUUGUUGGAUGAUCCAAUCUCUCUAUAUUCCAAUACUUGCAUUCCCAAAAAUACAAUCACAAUAAUUCACGAACCUAGUAGACUUGCUCCUAGACUCCUUCGUGCUUUCAAGGCAGCACUAAUCUCCAUUCUCAAUUUUUAAUUUUCCUCUUCCUCUUUGUUUAAUCUUUUGAACAGCCCGUCACAAUCGUCGACCUUUCGCAUACACGUGGAUCAUACCAUUCAAAGAAUGAGCAACCUCUUAUUAUCUCAUAAUCGAUGUAGCCCCAAAAUCUUGUCCCAUGGUUGUCGUUAGUCCACGACGUAGUCAAACGACAUUGAUUGCCGCAACGGCAAAUAGGCGGGCCCACUUCGAAUUUGCAAACAUCGUCAUCUUCGCUCUCUGCAAUUUGGAACAUAGGGCACGACUUUUGUCGAUUUAGGGCUUAAGGUCUGAGAACAUGUUGAUUUGGGAUUUGGGAAUUAGGAAUUAUGGUUGGUUUUGGGUGCCACGUGUAAUGUUAUGGGUGUGAAAAUUCUAAAAACAUGAACCUACAGUGAGAUGCUGAAAAUGCCCUCUAAAAAUGGUAAACGUAGGUGCCAAGUGCGCAAAUAACGACUUUCUUGACAAUCUCGCUAACAGAGUUGGUAAAUUGUAGGUUUUCCACGAUUUUGAGUAUGUACUUGUAAAUGUCUGGCAUGGAUGAAGCGAAAGUUUAUUUAUAUUGAGUUAAGAUUUGAAUUUGAUUAUCUAUUUACAAUAUGUUCAUUUAUCGUAUAUGAACAAAAUUAUGCAAAUAUAGUCCAACUUUCUUUUGCUCAUGAUGUAUUGGUUGGAUGUUUAUGAUCUUCAAUAUGAAAACGAGUAAGAUGAAAAAGAUAAAAAUAAUGAGAGUGAUAACGAAAAAGACAAACAUAGACGUGAUAAUAGUUAUAGUCAUUACACUAUAUGAUUCAAUAAAAUUAAACAAAAAAGAUUUCCAACCAAAAAAAAGAGAGUUCAUUUUCAGGGGAAAAAAGGGCUAAGGAAUAGACACAAGAUACGAUGUUUUUUUUAAUGCGAAAAACAACGGUAGUUGACGUGCAAAAUUUUUAACUGUUCUUCUUUAAAUUGUUCAAGAUCAUUAAAAUGGUAGAAAUUAAAUUAGUAGCAAAUGCACAUAUUUAUUUAUUUUUUCCGUUUAAUGAACAAAUUAUAAUGAGACAAGUCCUUCACCCUUUAGGGUUGUUGCUCCCUCUUUGGUCAGCCAGGCUUGUGGUUUUUUUUUUUUGCCCUAGUUCCCCCUCCCCGAAUUUCCUCCAACUUCCCCAUUUUCUUUCCUUUUCUUUCUCUUCCACAUUUUGGGGUGCUGCUCUGUUUUUGAAGAGUCGUUUUCUAAUUUUUAUUAUUAUUAUUAUUAUUUUUUCUGUUAACUUGGUUGUUUCUUCUUUAGGGGAAAUUAUUAGUUUUUUCUUCGGGUGGUGUGUUUCAAGUAUUUGCUAUGCUUUUUCUCUCCUCAUUGCCGAAGACUGCAUGUUAUCAUUGGGUCUCAACCGCUAUCAUCAUCUCUUUGAAUCCAUAGAUGUCUCUCUCGUCAAUUUCCCUCGAUGACACUUAUGGAGUUUGAGAUGCCCUUAAAGUGCAAAUAGCACUUAUUGCUUGGAUUAUGGUAGCAUUGCUCGUUGUACUUGUUAUAGCCAGGUGCCUUGCCCACCAUCAUUUUUCUUUGGUUACCGGUUUCUCUUUGGUUGUUAUUGGCUCAGUUUGGUGGUGUGAUUUGUGGCGGUUGGAUUGUGUAGGACAUAUUUUCCAUUUAUUAUUGUUCUUAGAGUUUCUUAAGGCAGUGUUGUGUUUUGUGGGCUUUUGUCUAUUAUAAGCAUUUGCUGUUUGGAAGUUUUUUGUCUUUAUGUGGGUUUUAUGUUAUGGGUUAAUUAAAAUUUUGGUCAUUGAGGUUUGACUCGAAAUAUUUUAGUUACCGUGAUUUCAAUUUUUUCAAUUUUGUCACUUUACUUGCAGUCAUUAACAAAUUAAGUCAUAUCUCUCAAUCCUGUCAGUUUAAUUGCAUGGACUAAAUGUGUGCAAGGGCAAAAUUGUAUUUCCACCAUUUAAACAAUUAAUAAAAUAAAAUAAAAUAAAAUAACAACCACCUAGCAGUUUCUCCCACCCUCAUCCACCAUCCCUAUCCCCAAAUCCUUCCUCCUUUCUCCUCUCUCCGCCACUAACCACCCCACCAUCAUCCAUAACCACCCAAACUCACCACCAGUCAUACCCACCCACACCCCCCCUAUCCACCAUCCAAAUCUAAAGCCAUCACGGCACCUGCGUUGGAAGGGGCUGAUCGACUUGAGAGAGGAGAUCGGAGGAGUGUUGGGGCAGAAGGGAGAGAAGGGCAGAGAGAGCCAUCUCGGUGUCUUGGGAGGCAUUCUCCGCAUCAAUCCCGAUACUGUAUCCAUCCUUGUUCCAUGUUGUUCUUUGUCUUAUUUCUCAGGUGAGGGGUGGCUGGCUCUAAAACUCUCUUUUGAUAAUUUUUAUUAGAGUAGUCAAGAUUCAAGAAAAGGCGUCUUAUUAUUGUUGCCUUUUUUUUUUUUUUUUUUUUUUUUUUUUCUGAUUUGUUAUUGCGUGUCAUUAGCUUUCUAUUAAUGAAACUUGAUUCACACGAGAAAAUGAAUUUGCUUUUUCAAGAUAUUACAUUUUCCACAAUAUAUUUUUCUUUUCCGGGUGAUAAAAUAGAAGCGUCGAGUUAUUUUUUAGGACUAACCAGUGACGGUGAAGACCUUAUAAAACUGAAAGAGACUGAAAGAUGGCCGGCCUUCCUACGUCGUCGUUUAAGGCAAAUACCGGUAGUGCCGCCGCAGAAGACCCCAAACUCGGUCACACGAAGCAGAUACGGAGCCACGAGGUUGCAAUUGCAGAGCUCAAUGCUCUUUCACCGUCUCGGGUAUAUUUUAUUUAUGUCAAAAUAAAAACCAAAAAGUUAUAUUUCAUUUUGUUGCAAUCAAUUGAGUUGAAGAGUACUUGAAUUGUGUUCGUGUAGAAUUUUCUGAAUUGGGUUCUUCGUUUUGAAACAAAAAGUGAAGUUGGUUGUUUUAAUUUGGGUGUUUGGGUUCUUCCCAUAAGCCUAGAUGGUUUAGGUUUACAUGGUUCAGUUGAGAAAUUCAUGUUUUCCUUAGCAUCCAGUCUUUUAGGGCCCGUUUGAUAACUAUUUCUAUCUUAGUUUUUAGUUUUCAUUUUUUGUGCUAGAUUAUAGAGGAAAAUGAGAGUGAGAAUGGGAGUGAGUGUGAGAUUGAGAGAGAAGAUGAGAGGGGAGGAUGGGAGGGAGGCGUAACAAAAGUGAAAACAAAAACUAAAAACUGAAAUCUAUUUGAAAUCUAUUUCAGUUUUUAGUUGUUUGUACAAGCAUAGGAGUAAUAAGAUGAUCAUUUGUUUUAUCUCUAGCAUUGCGUAUGUAAUUGUUGCAAAUUUGAUAUGGAAUACACUUUUGUUAACCACCUUGCCUUGCCUAUCAUCAAUGCUAAGGAUUUCUUUUCUUUGAGAGUAAAUGUUUGUUAGUUCCACAAAUUUUGUUUUACUCAUUUCAAAGUUGUAUGAUUCUGUUCAUGGCAAAUUCUAGGUAGAUAUAACAAUAAUAGUAAUAGUCAUUAAACUAAUACAUUUUGCCUACAAUGUUGUCAUUAUCUUUCGAAUUGUAACUCUAAAUUCUAGAAAGCCAGUGAGCUCAAAUUGUUUUCAUUUCAUCGUUUCAAUGUUCCGAGUAUUAGUUUUCUUCCACGGUCUUUUUAUUUUUUUAUCUUUUUCAUUACAAGUAGAAGCCCAAUUGCCCUUCUCAUCAGCUUAUUUGGUUGGAGUGCUUUGUUAGUUUACACAGAUGUAAAUACAGCUCUUUCUUGAUCACAGGCUGUCUAUCAGAAGAAUGGGAACUUGUUUUUCCGUACAACAAUCCAGAAAGCAACAGCAUCUGAACAAAGUAAGAAGUUUUGCAUCGAAUCUAUGGUAUUUGUCUGUGGGUUUAAAUAGCUGAAUUGAUGUAUUUUCCUUGUUCACUGUUUAUAUUGUGCAGAACAAAUUGAUUUGGCUAAAGCAAGCCUAGGAAAGCUGAAUUCUUCUUGAUAUGACUUGGCUUACGAUGAUGGUAGUCCUACAGCCUUUUAAGGUAAAAACCCUUGUAUUAAUAGGCAUAUACAUCCACUAGAGAUAAGUCUUAUCCAAUUGAUGUAUUUCAAUGGCAAAGAUAUGUGAUACUUUUACCAUCAUUAUAUUUCAACUGGCACCAGAUACGCUUGAGUGCUUACUGUGAUCCUGCCAACAAAGCAGACUUUCUUUUCUGUUACCUUUCAUUGACUUCUGUGUCUGUUUGCUAUAUGCUUUUUUUCCUUUUAUCCAUUACUUACAUCCAAUUACCUUUAACUGACUAAGGGAUCUAAGGAGUUAUAUUGGAGAAAAUGCUAAAUUAUUUGUCAUUGUAUUGGUGUUACAAAGUAGUCUUUAUCUUUUUAAUAAAGCAGCAUUAACUCUCAACUCGUCUUUUAUUUUUAUUUUUUAUAUAAUAGAUUUAUUAAAAACACAAUAAAGUACACCCCUUGUAGUGAAGACUAAACAACAAAGCUGAUAAUACUCUACAUUAUAACUGUUGUAAACCAAUACACAUAUUAGACUGUCAGAAAACAGCUGCAUUAAUAGAAGAAAACUGAAUGUUCCAAAACUCAUAAGACACAGAAACCCAAAGUGACAACCAAAUUUUGACUUUUCCCCCUAAACCUUCAUCCCUCCCUGGAAUUACCCCACUCAGUUUGACUUCCCUAAACAACCUCAACAACUGUGAUACCGUAGAGUAAUAAAUAAAUAAAUGACCCACACUUUCACCCUCUUUACAUAUUAUGCACCACUACUGAGCAAGAUUUCCUAAUAAUCAACUUAGUUAAAUCCCAUACUAUGUAUAUCCGAAAAGGGAAUGAUCCGUUAACUGUUGGAUCAGAUGACACACAUAGCCUUACUAUGAGCAACUAUCGAAGUAAGAAUUGUUACUUUAGGAGAUGCCUUAGCCUUCGAAGUCACAAAAAAAGGUUGGAAAAUUGGAAGAGAUAGUUAGCCAGGUAGGACUACAAAAUUUGGUUUACAUGAAACAAACCCCAGAAUCGUCAAAAGUCCACCUCCAAAACAACCAGGACCUAGAAGGAGAUUAUUGAAGAAUCUCUGACAAAGACAGAAGUGACCUCCACAAUUUCAGGGUCAGUUAAGUUUUUUGGAAGCCAACAUAUCUAUCAACUCAAAGAACGAAAAGAAUUGACUUAAACUCUACCAAUGGGAACAUUAUGAAAAGUGGACAAUCUGCACAACUGAGGAAAUGAGUAAAACAAAGGCAAUUUUUUCCAACCCAACACUCAUCCAAAAUCUAAUCCUUUCUCCGCUUCUCCACUACCCACUACAAGCUCACAGCAAGGAGAAAAGUACCAUAACCUUGGAAAUGUCUUUCCAAGGACAGCAACUCAAACCCCUCACUAGAAUUCCAUCCAUUUUCAUGUAACCCAUGCUUCCUAUAACAGCUAAUGGAAAGCUCUAUAACAACUUCCCAAGUAAGGCCUUAUGGGGAGACAUACUGGUUAACUGCCAAUCAAAUGAUAUCUAAGUUCUUCAAACUACUUGGUUAUUCUCAUCUUCGCUAUCGUCCUUGCUUUCCAAAUUAAGUAAACAUGAUCCUAAACUAGCCAUUUUGUAUAUAGCUGAUAUGACUUGAGGUCUAUUCACGAGUAACUGUUUUCAUUUGUUUGAUUCCAUAUUAAAGCAGUGUUUUAUUACAUAAAACUUGAAAGAAUGCAUGAGGGUGUUGUAAAUAAAAUUGCCUGAUACCAUAGUUAAUAUAUAAAAAAUAAAAGAGGGAAAUUUCAGUUUUUCUUUGCAUCUUCAGGCUUUUGGGUGUCUUAAAUGAUCAAAAUAUAUGGGUGAAUCUUCAGGCUAUUUGUGAUAAGAGUGAAGAGAAUAAACUCCUUUGAGCUUUACAAAUCAGAUUUACCAUGAAGGUUUGUCGUGCCAAGGUUUUUGUCAGAGUGGCCUUUUUGGCAUGGACAGCCUGUUUAAGACUCUUUUUUUAGGGUAAUGUUUUUGGGACAGUUAUUGAUAAUGGAUGAUUUGAUACUUUAAUUGGUGUUGCGAAACAGGAUCUCAGUGAGUGAACCGCUUAUUGUUGCAGAUUCCUGUUGGUUGGGAGGUCGUGGGGAUUCUUGUCUCACCCAUUUUCUUAUUUCUAAAAUGGGCUUCUACCGUGGACAUAAUUUUGUGAACAAUAAAUGUAGUGUUCUAAAACUGGAGGAAAUUGAAGAGAGAGAAUUAGGAAAUUGAAGGUUUUGUUAUCUGUGUAUUACAAUGAGGGAUGUGUUCUUUUUGUAGGCAAAGCCUUCCAACAUGUGGGCUCCACCUUACCAAUACAAGUGGAGGGGAAGCUUCAUAGGUAAGCAUCAUUGUUGGGCAUCAUUGUUGGACUCCACCUUCUUGUUUACAACUCCCCCUUGGAGACCACAAAUGAUACGGAAUAUGCAUCGUUAAAAACCUUGUCAGGAAAAACCCAGUGGGACAAAAACUGGUCAAAGGGAAAAAGAGUACAUAAUCAUGUGUAACAUAAAAUUCUGUGUAUAUUGACGCGCGUGCGACACUGCCUCGUUAAAACCUUGCCAGGAAAAAUCCAGUGGGAUAAAAACCUGGACGAAGGAAAAAGAGUACAAUGUGUAAAGGUCUUUCUUGACAGCACGCUUCCCCUGAUGCUUGGCAAAAUAUCUUUAAGUCAUUCUGUUGAUCAUCUUUCUGAAUAUCAUAGUUGACACUGCUUCUGUGAGUCAAUCUUGAGCGACACUGCCUCGUUAAAACCUUACCAGGAAAAACCCAGUGGGAUAAAAACCUGGAUGAAGGAAAAAGAGUACAGUGUAUGAAGGUCUUUAUUAAUACCACGCUCCCCCUGAUGAAUAUCUCCCCCUGAAAACUUCAUGACUAGCUUUUCCAGUAAGCGACCAUAAAAAUUUUCAUAGUAUCAUCCCAAAGUGGUGGUGAUGGAGCUGAGCUCUAUUUGGUCUAGUAUACUGCCGGAAAAAUAUUUAAGGACCAACGGAUAAGACUCUCUUAGUAUAAGCAAGAAUCUCGUUGGCAUAAUGCUCGAUCGAGACAAAUAUUUCGUGAAUACUAGCCUCUAGUUAUUGGAGUACUUCCGGAAAAUCCUUAGAGUGCCAAACGGAUACUCCUCAUAAAAAUGCUUCAAUACUUUCUUAGUAUAAGCAAGAAUCUCAUUGGCAUAAUGCUCGAUCUUUAAGUCGAGACAAAUAUUUCUUGAACUCUUCAAGAGUUUCAAUACGUUGCAAACAUAUUAUAAUCAAUGUACNNNNNNNNNNNNNNNNNNNNNNNNNNNNNNNNNNNNNNNNNNNNNNNNNNNNNNNNNNNNNNNNNNNNNNNNNNNNNNNNNNNNNNNNNNNNNNNNNNNNNNNNNNNNNNNNNNNNNNNNNNNNNNNNNNNNNNNNNNNNNNNNNNNNNNNNNNNNNNNNNNNNNNNNNNNNNNNNNNNNNNNNNNNNNNNNNNNNNNNNNNNNNNNNNNNNNNNNNNNNNNNNNNNNNNNNNNNNNNNNNNNNNNNNNNNNNNNNNNNNNNNNNNNNNNNNNNNNNNNNNNNNNNNNNNNNNNNNNNNNNNNNNNNNNNNNNNNNNNNNNNNNNNNNNNNNNNNNNNNNNNNNNNNNNNNNNNNNNNNNNNNNNNNNNNNNNNNNNNNNNNNNNNNNNNNNNNNNNNNNNNNNNNNNNNNNNNNNNNNNNNNNNNNNNNNNNNNNNNNNNNNNNNNNNNNNNNNNNNNNNNNNNNNNNNNNNNNNNNNNNNNNNNNNNNNNNNNNNNNNNNNNNNNNNNNNNNNNNNNNNNNNNNNNNNNNNNNNNNNNNNNNNNNNNNNNNNNNNNNNNNNNNNNNNNNNNNNNNNNNNNNNNNNNNNNNNNNNNNNNNNNNNNNNNNNNNNNNNNNNNNNNNNNNNNNNNNNNNNNNNNNNNNNNNNNNNNNNNNNNNNNNNNNNNNNNNNNNNNNNNNNNNNNNNNNNNNNNNNNNNNNNNNNNNNNNNNNNNNNNNNNNNNNNNNNNNNNNNNNNNNNNNNNNNNNNNNNNNNNNNNNNNNNNNNNNNNNNNNNNNNNNNNNNNNNNNNNNNNNNNNNNNNNNNNNNNNNNNNNNNNNNNNNNNNNNNNNNNNNNNNNNNNNNNNNNNNNNNNNNNNNNNNNNNNNNNNNNNNNNNNNNNNNNNNNNNNNNNNNNNNNNNNNNNNNNNNNNNNNNNNNGUGCAUCAUAUUGGAUCCAUUGCUAUACCCAUAAUCUGUUUUAUGAAGACUUUAAUCGGUGCAGUGUAUUAUCAAUGUAUCCAACUUGCAAUCUGUAAAAUUUGCGGUAAUAAUUCAGGGAUACAUACAAGCCAUUCUUUUGGAACGGACUUAUCUCCCCAUUUGGUUACCUUUCAAGAUAAAAUAUCAAAUAGGUAUAUAAGCAUAAAAUAACACAAGUAUUGCUUACAUCCUUAGGUGGGAGAAACUUUUCUCAAGUAUCAUUCAAGCUCGUAUCGGCCCAGUAAAUAUAAAGUAUCGCUUGAUGAUCUUGUUAUAUCCUGCAAGAGCAAAAAUCACAAUUCUUUUCUCUGUCAAAAACAAAUAACUCUCAGAGUUAAGAUCACUGCAUGGAUUCUUUCUUCGGAUGUUCAUUCUAAAGAAAUAAAAUCCCUUAUGAACAGAGAGUUAUAAAAAGAAAGAAAAGAUACAAAAAUUGUGAUAUUGAUUGCAAGGUAAGGUAAGCAAUCAAGGAAGGAAGCUGGUGGGAGCAGACAAUAAGCUCUCAUAUCUCCUAGUCUAGAAGGACUUCCGGAGAUUAGAGCAUAAGAUCGCCUUCACAGUUUCCUGAUGUAGCGGAAACGUGAUCAGGGAUAGUCUUGCUUCCUGAAUGGAUGAUCAGAGAUAGUCUUGCUUCUCGGGCAUAUUGAGUGCUCACUGAUAAGAAAAACAAGUAAAUAUCGCAUCACUAGGUAUGGAGUNNNNNNNNNNNNNNNNNNNNNNNNNNNNNNNNNNNNNNNNNNNNNNNNNNNNNNNNNNNNNNNNNNNNNNNNNNNNNNNNNNNNNNNNNNNNNNNNNNNNCCAAUGGCCUUCUCUCAAAAACAAAAUAAAGGUGGAAGCUCCAGGCUUGGGCCCUCCCAGGUGAAGACUGGUCUCUGAAUGGUAACUCCAGAAGCAACAAAGAAAGAGGAUAAGUCUCUUCUCUCUCUUGGGUACCUUUCCCCCUAUGUCUUCCCAACAACCAACAAUGGAAAUGAUGAGCUUCCACUGCUUGAAAUGAUUUAAGUGGUUCUCUGAGCUGUAAAUGGAGGUCCCAGCUUUCGGCUAAAAGCAGCAGAUAUAUAUAUAUACUAAUAUCAACUGCAAUCAUAACUGGGUUUCUUUACUUUUGAUGCCUGCCUACAUAUCCUCCUCUUUAGUUGUCCUUACUUUUAUUUGGUUUUCUUUUCCUUUCUUGCUGACUAACUUUGAUUUACUUUUGAGACAUUGGUCUAUGCUUGUCAGAGACACCUCCAGCAUCUUCCAAGUGGAGAGAGGGCAGGAAUAUCACGCAGCAAUGAUGAAAGCAAAAGAAGAUCCAACAGCAAACCCACCGACAGAAAGAAAAAUUAAAUAUUUAAAAAAAAAAAAAAAAAAGGAGAUCACUCAGCAAGGGCACUCAGAAAAAAGUCACUCACGUGGACCCUUGGUAUAUUUAUCUAUAUUUAUAAUAUACUAUAUUUAUCUGCUUUUCUAUUACUAACCAUUAACAAAAAUGGACCCUUGGUAACACUAAAACAUAUUAUCAGUGGGAGGCCGUUACUAAUACUAACAUUUUUCUUAUUUUAUUCGGUGGUGGUUUUAACCCCACAUUUAUUUUAUUUACUGUAUGGUGUAGGUUUAUUACCCAUACAUGCACCUUUACUUUAUCGCAAAUUUACUUUACCGCACAUUUAUUUUAUUUACUGUAUGGUGUAGGUUUAUUAUCCAUACAACAGUAUUUAUUUUAAAGGGUGGUGCGGGUUUAUCGUUCACGCCUUUGCUUUUAUUUAAAUGUAUGGAGCAGAAUUAGUGCCCAUACAAGUACGUUUACUUUACCGCACAUUUAAUUUUAUUUAAGGUAUGGUGCGGGAUUAACGUCCAUACAGCAAGCUAUUUAAUUUAUUUAAAGUAUGGUGCGGGUUUAUCGUCCAUACCAGUAAUUUAUUUAUCAGCAAUUUAUUUUAUGGAUUAAUUGUGCUGUAUGAUGAGUUUUUACAGUAUGCAGAUCAGGACCAGAAGUUCCUUGAUCCUCAUCAUACAAUUACAUCAGGACUUGAAGAUCCUUGAUGAUGAUGAUAUUAAAAUGAGAGCUGGUAGUCUCUCCGGUACUGUAUUUGUAAACAUGUGAUUGGACUCAAGGGUCCUUGAUCCCUGACAUGUAAAUAAGGACCUAGAGUUCCUUAAUGAUAUAACAGUACCGUAUUGGUUCAUAGUGCCGUACACAUGGAUGAUAACUGUACUGGCAGAUGUACUGUACACAUGAAUAGAUACAUAUUCAUGACUUGAUGAAUAGUACUAUUCACAUGAAUAGUGAUGUAUGCAUAAAUAUUAACCAUUUUGGAUAAACCGUCACUAUAUACAAAAGGGAACCUGCAGUUCCUUAAACUCAUGGAUGAGCAAUUAAAUGAGAUGCCAGAGGUUCCUCAAAAUAUGGACAAUUAUGUAAGGGCUUGAAGUCCCGAAAUAUGUACAGAAAAUUGUAAAAAUGUCCAUACCAUGAGAAUAUGUGGCUUUGGCCUGAAGUUUCAAAUUUAACAGUGUUGAGAACCUGAAGUUCCAACAAUUAAAUGGACAACCCUUGAGGUAUUAUUGCAAAUUGUGGUACGCCACAUAUUUCUUUGGCAUAAGAGAAUGAUGAAUUGAGUCUCCCCACAUAUUUUGUUAUAUCUGGGCCGGAAGCUCAUGAACCCAAAUAUAUGAGAUAUUAGCGUGGUUUUUUACUCAAUUCAUAUCUCAUGUUCAUUUGAAAAGGGCGAAUAAAUUCUGAGUUUGUGUUUAGCAUAGGCCAAAAGUUCCGGGUUCCCAUACUUUGAAAUAUGAAAUUUGGGAGAGUCGAUGUGGUUAUUUGAACCUAUAAGGCACACGGUUCCAAACCGUCAUUUUGAAAAGACGUAAAAACCACAGGUGCAAGUUUAAAAAUGUGCGCAAUUAUUAUAACAGGAAAGGAGAAUAUAACAGAUAGAUUUUUUCCACCUGCAAUGAAGGUGCAGGCCCUGUAAAAUCUAUAAAAAUUACAUUAUGUUCUGGAAGCCUCUGAAGGAAGAUGACGGCGCCUCUUAAGCUUAGCCAUGAGCUUCUCGUGGUCUCCCAAAAUUCUUUCAUUGGAGACCUGCAGCAUGUCUAGCCUUCUCAGUGUAUCAACAGAGUACGAACUCACCAGUUUCAACAAGGAAUUAUUCUCUCCUUUAAGUUUCUCAACCUCCUGUUGAGACUCAUGAAGCAUUCUUUGAAGAGACGAAUUUUCAGUUGUUAGCUUCUGAACCUCGUUUGCUCUAGCACGCAAACGAUUAGCCAUGUUAGAAACAGAAGCAGCACUCUGAAUGCUAGCAGCCAUUGAGUCAUCAUAGCCUCUUCCUCAGACCUCCUUGUUACAGCAUUUCAUCCAUCGGAGUAAUGAAAUUCCUAGCUACUAUGACAGCAGUAGCAUCAUUCAUCAUCACAGAAUCAUUAACUGUGAGAUGACGAUUUUAGGAUACAAAGGAUGGACGCCAAACUUUGGGCGUCACUGGUUGUUGUGGGAGCAUCAUUUAAAUUGAAAUAAUUUGGGCAGGAAGAAGAGGAAGCCAUUUUUAAGAAGGUUUCGAAGAAAGUCUUAGAAAAACUAAAGGUUCGGAAAAUGAAGGAAGUUGAGUUGAAAUGCAGUUUGCAAAGGCAAUAUCUAUAGACGAAAAUGUGGCAACUUUUCAGGACCCCAAUAUCUUCUCGAAUCCCCAUAUUAUCUUUUUCUUUCCCAGAGUCCAAACUUCACGUGGCCUCUAAUAAUGCCUGUCGGCACUUUCGGCGUUUUCAAAGUAUUAUUUUCAAAGCCGAUCUUGCUUUACGGAUUUCACGGAGCUACUUUUUCAAAAGUAUCCCGAGAAUCUCGCAAUUUUUCUAUGGUUAACUUGAAAUUCACCGGUUCUACCUAUUCAUUGUAUUUGUGUAUAAAUGUGUUACUAACGAAAUUUUCUUUGCAGAAGAGAUCCAGUUUACUCCAUACCUAGUGAUGCGAUAUUUACUUGUUUUUCUUAUCAGUGAGCACUCAAUAUGCCCGAGAAGCAAGACUAUCUCUGAUCAUCCAUUCAGGAAGCAAGACUAUCCCUGAUCACGUUUCCGCUACAUCAGGAAACUGUGAAGGCGAUCUUAUGUUCUAAUCUCCGGAAGUCCUUCUAAACUAGGAGAUAUGAGAGCUUAUUGUCUGCUCCCACCAGCUUCCUUCCUUGAUUGCUUACCUUACCUUGCAAUCAAUAUCACAAUUUUUGUAUCUUUUCUUUCUUUUUAUAACUCUAUGUUCAUAAGUGAUUUUAUUUCUUUAGAAUGAACAUCCGAAGAAAGAAUCCAUGCAGUGAUCUUAACUCUGAGAGUUAUUUGUUUUUGACAGAGAAAAGAAUUGUGAUUUUUGCUCUUGCAGGAUAUAACAAGAUCAUCAAGCGAUACUUUAUAUUUACUGGGCCGAUACGAGCUUGAAUGAUACUUGAGAAAAGUUUCUCCCACCUAAGGAUGUAAGCAAUACUUGUGUUAUUUUAUGCUUAUAUACCUAUUUGAUAUUUUAUCUUGAAAGGUAACCAAAUGGGGAGAUAAGUCCGUUCCAAAAGAAUGGCUUGUCUGUAUCCAUGAAUUAUUAACGCAAAUUUUACAGAUUGCAAGUGGGAUACAUUGAUAAUACACUGCACAGAUUAAAGUCUCAUAAGAACAGAAUAUGGGUAUAGCAGUGAUCAAUAUGAUGGACGCCUGUUGCGUAGCAAAUGAUGUGGAUUGAAGUCCCGAAAGGACAAUCCUUUGACAUGUCAAUAUUGAUAUUGUGCACGCCUAAUGCGUAGCAAAUUGUAUGGGUUAAAGUCCCAUAAAUUAAUUGACAUGUAUGUAUUAAUCUGUGGCAUGCCUGCAGCAUGACAGAUAUAUGGGUUCUAAAUGUUCCAACUCCCUAAAUGGAGAUUAUCCACGCCCUACUAUAAAAUAACGCUCCAUUGGAGGUUAUAAUCCACAUUCUCACAUAAUAAAAGCCCCCUGCAGUGGCUUGGGUACCCAAAAGCAAAGAAAUGCUUAUAAUUGAUGUAUGCGCAUGCAAAUGAGAAUGAUGGGAUCAUGAAUUGAUGAAUGACAAUUUUUGAUUUUGGAGUAGCUACUCAAAUCAUCAAUGGGCUGUGUUGAUUGGAACCACGUUCAAUUAUUAAAUGUCGACAAUAUCAUUGGCCAAAAUGGAAUGAGGUAAUUCCAUUAUAGAUAAGAAUGAACGUGAAUGAACAACCCACAAGACGAACCCCAAAAUUUGUUAAUACUGAAUGUUAUACUUGGGUGUUCGGAAUAAAAGGGAAUAUACCUACUUUGUAUGACACAAUGUUUCUGGCAGAAACAAGAAAUGUUGGGUUUUCUCCAUAUUUAUAGGUUCAAUUGUGCCCCUUUAUUGCACAUUUACGGAGACUAACAUGUUAUCUUUAAGGGUUAUUAAAUGCACAGAGCAUAUCGCCAGAAGCGAUUGCCUAAAGAUGUAUACAUAGCUGGGUUAAAGCUAUAUAAUGUGUCAUAACGUUUAAUCACUUUUUUUUAAAACAAAAUCCGUGAGAGGAUUGACAUUGCAUAAAGUAAGUCCCUAAAGAACAUGUGCUUAAAAGGAUUGACAUUGCAUAAAGCAAGUCCCUAAAGGACAUGUGCUUGAAGCACAAAAUUUGUACUCAAUAUUAAUAUGCAUAAAUUACCUCAGUGAGUACAUUGAUUAUAAUGUGUUUGCGACACAGUAAAGCUUCUGCAGAAUUCACAAAAUAUUUGUCUCGAUCGAGCAUUAUGCCAACGAGAUUCUUGCUUAUACUAAGAGAGUCUUAUCCGUUGGUCCUUAAAUAUUUUUCCGGCAGUAUACUAGACCAAAUAGAGCUCAGCUCCAUCACCACCACUUUGGGAUGAUACUAUGAAAAUUUUUAUGGUCGCUUACUGGAAAAGCUAGUCAUGAAGUUUUCAGGGGGAGAUAUUCAUCAGGGGGAGCGUGGUAUUAAUAAAGACCUUCAUACACUGUACUCUUUUUCCUUCAUCCAGGUUUUUAUCCCACUGGGUUUUUCCUGGUAAGGUUUUAACGAGGCAGUGUCGCUCAAGAUUGACUCACAGAAGCAGUGUCAACUAUGAUAUUCAGAAAGAUGAUCAACAGAAUGGCUUAAAGAUAUUUUGUCAAGCAUCAGGGGGAGCAUGCUGUCAAGAAAGACCUUUACACAUUGUACUCUUUUUCCUUCGUCCAGGUUUUUAUCCUACUGGGUUUUUCCUGGCAAGGUUUUAACGAGGCAGUGUCGCACGCGCGUCAAUAUACACAGAAUUUUAUGUUACACAUGAUUAUGUACUCUUUUUCCCUUUGACCAGUUUUUGUCCCACUGGGUUUUUCCUGGCAAGGUUUUUAACGAGGCAUAUUCCGUAUCAUUUGGGGUCUCCAAGGGGGAGUGUUGUAAACAAGAAGGUGGAGUCCAACAAUGAUGCCCAACAAGAAAACCCAACAUUCCUUGUUUCUGCCAGAAACAUUGUGUCAUACAAAGUAGGUAUAUUCCCUUUUAUUCCGAACACCCAAGUAUAACAUUCAGUAUUAACAAAUUUUGGGGUUCGUAUUGUGGGUUGUUCAUUCACGUUCAUUCUUAUCUAGAAUGGAAUUACCUCAUUCCAUUUUGGCCAAUGAUAUUGUCGACAUUUAAUAAUUGAACGUGGUUCCAAUCAACACAGCCCAUUGAUGAGUUGAGUAGCUACUCCAAAAUCAAAAAUUGUCAUUCAUCAAUUCAUGAUCCCAUCAUUCUCAUUUGCAUGCGCAUACAUCAAUUAUAAGCAUUUCUUUGCUUUUGGGUACCCAAGCCACUGCAGGGGGCUUUUAUUAUGUGAGAAUGUGGAUUAUAACCUCCAAUGGAGCGUUAUUUUAUAGUAGGGCGUGGAUAAUCUCCAUUUAGGGAGUUGGAACAUUUAGAACCCAUAUAUCUGUCAUGCUGCAGGCAUGCCACAGAUUAAUACAUACAUGUCAAUUAAUUUAUGGUACUUUAACCCAUACAAUUUGCUACGCAUUAGGCGUGCACAAUAUCAAUAUUGACAUGUCAAAGGAUUGUCCUUUCGGGACUUCAAUCCACAUCAUUUGCUACGCAACAGACGUGCAUCAUAUUGAUCACUGCUAUACCCAUAUUCUGUUCUUAUGAGACUUUAAUCUGUGCAGUGUAUUAUCAAUGUAUCCAACUUGCAAUCUGUAAAAUUUGCGUUAAUAAUUCAUGGAUACAUACAAGCCAUUCUUUUGGAACGGACUUAUCUCCCCAUUUGGUUACCUUUCAAGAUAAAAUAUCAAAUAGGUAUAUAAGCAUAAAAUAACACAAGUAUUGCUUACAUCCUUAGGUGGGAGAAACUUUUCUCAAGUAUCAUUCAAGCUCGUAUCGGCCCAGUAAAUAUAAAGUAUCGCUUGAUGAUCUUGUUAUAUCCUGCAAGAGCAAAAAUCACAAUUCUUUUCUCUGUCAAAAACAAAUAACUCUCAGAGUUAAGAUCACUGCAUGGAUUCUUUCUUCGGAUGUUCAUUCUAAAGAAAUAAAAUCCCUUAUGAACAGAGAGUUAUAAAAAGAAAGAAAAGAUACAAAAAUUGUGAUAUUGAUUGCAAGGUAAGGUAAGCAAUCAAGGAAGGAAGCUGGUGGGAGCAGACAAUAAGCUCUCAUAUCUCCUAGUCUAGAAGGACUUCCGGAGAUUAGAGCAUAAGAUCGCCUUCACAGUUUCCUGAUGUAGCGGAAACGUGAUCAGGGAUAGUCUUGCUUCCUGAAUGGAUGAUCAGAGAUAGUCUUGCUUCUCGGGCAUAUUGAGUGCUCACUGAUAAGAAAAACAAGUAAAUAUCGCAUCACUAGGUAUGGAGUAAACUGGAUCUCUUCUGCAAAGAAAAUUUCGUUAGUAACACAUUUAUACACAAAUACAAUGAAUAGGUAGAACCGGUGAAUGUCAAGUUAACCAUAGGAAAAUUGCGAGAUUCUCGGGAUACUUUUGAAAAAGUAGCUCCGUGAAAUCCGUAAAGCAAGAUCGGCUUUGAAAAUAAUACUUUGAAAAUGCCGAAAGUGCCGACAGGCAUUAUUAGAGGCCACGUGAAGUUUUGGACUCUGGGAAAGAAAAAGAUAAUAUGGGGAUUCGAGAAGAUAUUGGGGUCCUGAAAAGUUGCCACAUUUUCGUCUAUAGAUAUUGCCUUUGCAAACUGCGUUUCAACUCAAUUUCCUUCAUUUUCCGAACCUUUAGUUUUUCUAAGACUUUCUUCGAAACCUUCUUAAAAAUGGCUUCCUCUUCUUCCUGCCCAAAUUAUUUCAAUUUAAAUGAUGCUCCCACAACAACCAGUGACGCCAAAGUUUGGCGUCCAUCCUUUGUAUCCCAAAAUCGUCAUCUCACAGUUAAUGAUUCUGUGAUGAUGAAUGAUGCUACUGCUGUCAUAGUAGCUAGGAAUUUCAUUACUCCGAUGGAUGAAAUGCUGCUAACAAGGAGGUCUGAGGAAGAGGCUAUUGAUGACUCAAUGGCUGCUAGCAUUCAGAGUGCUGCUUCUGUUUCUAACAUGGCUGAUCGUUUGCGUGCUAGAGCAAACGAGGUUCAGAGGCUAACAACUGAAAAUUCGUCUCUUCAAAGAAUGCUUCAUGAGUCUCAACAGGAGGUUGAGAAACUUAAAGGAGAGAAUAAUUCCUUGUUGAAACUGGUGAGUUCGUACUCUGUUGAUACACUAAGAAGGCUAGACAUGCUGCAGGUCUCCAAUGAAAGAAUUUUGGGAGACCACGAGAAGCUCAUGGCUAAGCUUAAGAGGCGCCGUCAUCUUCCUUCAGAGGCUUCCAGAACAUAAUGUAAUUUUUAUAGAUUUUACAGGGCCUGCACCUUCAUUGCAGGUGGAAAAAAUCUAUCUGUUAUAUUCUCCUUUCCUGUUAUAAUAAUUGCGCACAUUUUUAAACUUGCACCUGUGGUUUUUACGUCUUUUCAAAAUGACGGUUUGGAACCGUGUGCCUUAUAGGUUCAAAUAACCACAUCGACUCUCCCAAAUUUCAUAUUUCAAAGUAUGGGAACCCAGAACUUUUGGCCUGGGCUAAACACAAACUCAGAAUUUAUUUGCCCUUUUCAAAUGAACAUGAGAUAUGGAUUGAGUAAAAAACCACGCUAAUAUCUCAUAUAUUUGGGUUCAUGAGCUUCCGGCCCAGAUAUAACAAAAUAUGUGGGGAGACUCAAUUCAUCAUUCUCUUAUGCCAAAGAAAUAUGUGGCGUACCACAAUUUGCAAUAAUACCUCAAGGGUUGUCCAUUUAAUUGUUGGAACUUCAGGUUCUCAACACUGUUAAAUUUGGAACUUCAGGCCAAAGCCACAUAUUCUCAUGGUAUGGACAUUUUUACAAUUUUCUAUACAUAUUUCGGGACUUCAAGCUCUUACAUAAUUGUCCAUAUUUUGAGGAACCUCUGGCAUCUCAUUUAAUUGCUCAUCCAUGAGUUUAAGGAACUGCAGGUUCCCUUUUGUAUAUAGUGACGGUUUAUCCAAAAUGGUUAAUAUUUAUGCAUACGUCACUAUUCAUGUGAAUAGUACUAUUCAUCAAGUCAUGAAUAUGUAUCUAUUCAUGUGUACAGUACAUCUGCCAGUACAGUUAUCAUCCAUGUGUACGGCACUAUGAACCAAUACGGUACUGUUACAUCAUUAAGGAACUCUAGGUCCUUAUUUACAUGUCAGGGAUCAAGGACCCUUAAGUCCAAUCACAUGUUUACAAAUACAGUACCGGAGAGACUGCCAGCUCUCAUUUUAAUAUCAUCAUCAUCAAGGAUCUUCAAGUCCUGAUGUAAUUGUAUGAUGAGGAUCAAGGAACUUCUGGUCCUGAUCUGCAUACUGUAAAAACUCAUCAUACAGCACAAUUAAUCCAUAAAAUAAAUUGCUGAUAAAUAAAUUACUGGUAUGGACGAUAAACCCGCACCAUACUUUAAAUAAAUUAAAUAGCUUGCUGUAUGGACGUUAAUCCCGCACCAUACCUUAAAUAAAAUUAAAUGUGCGGUAAAGUAAAUGUGCGGUAAAGUAAACGUGCUUGUAUGGGCACUAAUUCUGCUCCAUACAUUUAAAUAAAAGCAAAGGCGUGGACGAUAAACCCGCACCACCCUUUAAAAUAAAUAUUGUUGUAUGGGUAAUAAACCUACACCAUACAGUAAAUAAAAUAAAUGUGCGGUAAAGUAAAUUUGCGAUAAAGUAAAGGUGCAUGUAUGGGUAAUAAACCUACACCAUACAGUAAAUAAAAUAAAUGUGGGGUUAAAACCACCACCGAAUAAAAUAAGAAAAAUGUUAGUAUUAGUAACGGCCUCCCACUGAUAAUAUGUUUUAGUAUUACCAAGGGUCCAUUUUUGUUAAUGGUUAGUAAUAGAAAAGCAGAUAAAUAUAGUAUAUUAGAAAUAUAGAUAAAUAUACCAAGGGUCCACGUGAGUGACUUUUUUCUGAGUGCCCUUGCUGAGUGAUCUCCUUUUUUUUUUCUUUUUUUUUUUAAUAUUUAAUUUUUCUUUCUGUCGGUGGGUUUGCUGUUGGAUCUUCUUUUGCUUUCAUCAUUGCUGCGUGAUAUUCCUGCCCUCUCUCCACUUGGAAGAUGCUGGAGGUGUCUCUGACAAGCAUAGACCAAUGUCUCAAAAGUAAAUCAAAGUUAGUCAGCAAGAAAGGAAAAGAAAACCAAAUAAAAGUAAGGACAACUAAAGAGGAGGAUAUGUAGGCAGGCAUCAAAAGUAAAGAAACCCAGUUAUGAUUGCAGUUGAUAUUAGUAUAUAUAUAUCUGCUGCUUUUAGCCGAAAGCUGGGACCUCCAUUUACAGCUCAGAGAACCACUUAAAUCAUUUCAAGCAGUGGAAGCUCAUCAUUUCCAUUGUUGUUGUUGGAAGACAUAGGGGAAAGGUACCCAAGAGAGAGAAGAGACUCAUCUCUUUCUUUGUUGCUUCUGGAGUUACCAUUCAAAGACCAGUCUUCACCUGGAGGCCUAAGUCUGAGCUCCAACUUUUUUUUUUUUUUUUUUUUUUGAAGAGCCAUGGCUUCUCUCAUCUCUUUUCACACGCCAGAAAUCAGUGGCUAGGAGGAGGAGGAGGAGCUGCAGGUGGUUGCAGACAGCAGAGAAUUGACUUCAACUGUGUGAGCAUGUUCUCUUUCUUCCAAGGCAAAGACCUUCUCCGAAGAGCACAGGAUCAGGCAUAGAAAACCAGAGCAACAAAUGAUGUACCUCAUGAGGAAGGAGGAGCUAGAAAUGGGAGCUGCCAUGAUUAUUUCACAAGCUAGCUAACCUAAACUCCCACCCACAGAUGUAAAAUGAUGUUUGCUCUUCCGCUAGCUUUUACUCUGUGGUUCUGGCUAUGGCUGUAAGGGCUGAAGCGAAGUCAGCCCAGAAAAGCUUGGGAAGGGCCCGGUGAGUUUUUGGUUCCCUAUUUGGAUCUUGAAGACCUUGUUGUCGUUUGUGCAAUUGACUUUGCUCCAUUUCUGGAUGAAGCAGAAGCAAGAGCUCCUAGAACAAGCACAUGGCAAGCACAGACAAACAAUCCCAGAUGAGAGAAAUAGGAAGUGGUCUAGAUGCAGCAAGGGAGAGAUAAAGAUAAAAGGGGCCGAUCGGGAUCUUUUUCUCUUUUGGGUUCUGGGCUUUUUCUUUGUGUUUGUUUGGCUGGGUUUCAUCAGAGAAUUCAGCUGGUGUUGUUAAAGCGAAUUCGUGCUGAUAACGUGUUCUAAAACUGGAGGAAAUUGAAGAGAGAGAAUUAGGAAAUUGAAGGUUUUGUUAUCUGUGUAUUACAAUGAGGGAUGUGUUCUUUUUGUAGGCAAAGCCUUCCAACAUGUGGGCUCCACCUUACCAAUACAAGUGGGGGGGAAGCUUCAUAGGUAAGCAUCAUUGUUGGGCAUCAUUGUUGGACUCCACCUUCUUGUUUACAACAUGUAGAGACUUUUAGACAGAAGCAUUAUGUUUUAGAAUUUUGUACAAAUACCUUUUGAAGUAUAAGGGAUAUGAGGUUAUUAAUGUACGUCUCUCCCUCUUGCCCUCCUUGGUUGUCUCCCCAAGCGUUCCGUACCCUCCCCGAUCGCCUAAAAAAUUGGUACAUUAUUAUGAUUAUACACGUAGGUACAUACAUGUACAUGCAAUGUACAUAUAAACGUACAUUAAAUGUACCCAAGUUUCCAACAAGGGACCAAAGUUGAAAUUUAAUCUAAACAUGGAAGUUUAAUAAACUAUCUUAUUCAAGGGUAACACAGUAAUUAUCUUGAUAUAUGUUCCUACGGAUUUCAUCAAUGUACUUGGUUAAAUUAAUAAACGAACAAAUAUUGGAGAACCAUGACGACUGAGAGAUUCAUAUAACCCUCACAUGCGGACUUAUAUAUAAAUUAUUUUGAUCCUAAAUUUGUGAUUUUAUAGUUUUUAUCGCAAAUGGUCUUUGAGAGCUUCCAUUAAGGGAUCCCUCAAAUUUAUUUGAGGGAUACCCCUUGUAGGCCCCACUCCGGAUUGUAUUUCACUAAUCGAAACAGUCUAUUUUGUAGAUACUUAUUCAAAGAUCAUCUCUACAAAAAAUCACUUGAAUCAGAUAUUAUUUGACCACUCAAUUGAGUUAUUGAAAUUUUAGUAUUUUCUUGAAGUACCGUGUUCAUUGAUUUUGUAAGACACAAUUGGAUGUCGAAACGGUUUCCGAUUUGUCUAAUUUUUUUGUAAGGAUGAUCUAUGAAUGAAGACCUAAAAAAUAGAUGGUUUGAAUCAUUGGGAAAAAAAAUGGUAAGGUGCCCUAAAAAGCGUCCCUCAAAUAAAAUUAUUUGAAAGAUUCCUCAAUAAAAGGAAAUUAUAUAUAUAUAUAUAUAUAUUCCCGUGGAACUUGUUUAUUGAAUAUUUUGAACAAAAAUUAUUUCGGUGGCUUAACUGCUCUGUUAACGGCAAAUGGGGUUGUUUCUGGGCUUUUAGUUUUUGGAAUAAAUGAGCAAAGAAAGGCCCAAGUUAUAAAGGACGUUAGAGCUUGUUAGAGCAUCUCCACCCAUAAGGGCUAAGUCUAGGGCAAGGGCAAGCAAGGGCUGCCACUAUUCACAUGAAUAGUGUCAGCCUUGGUAUUUGUGGUUCCAUCCAUGAGGGCUAAGUCUAAGGCAAUUACUAUUCACUUAAAUUUAUUUUUUAUUUUUUAUACUUAAACCAUUGAUUUUGAUAAGCUUUUCGGAUAAGAUUUUCGUUUCCCAAGUGUUAAUAUUUAUCGUAAAAUUCUCACCUAAAAAUCAAGAUAAUAUUUUCUAAUAAAAUUUUGAAAUUAAAUUUGGUGUGGAAAGUGAAUAAUAUUGGUAUGUAUGUAUAGAAAAAAUUUCCAGAAUUUUUUGAUAUUUUUUUAAAAAAAUUUUGAUAUUUUUUUCAAUUUUUUUUAGCCAAAAAUUGGACAACCGUUGGAUUGUGCAAGAUUUUUUGCUCAGAGGCUCCUGGAGAAGCCACGUGGCUUGUAACCAUUGGGCAAUGUGGGCUGGUGGGUUCAACAGUAAAAAAAAAUUGAAAAUCAGCUGCUGACGUCAUGCUGACAUCAGCAGCCCGCGGGCAACAGCCCAGUCAAUUUCUGCAUGUGGGCUUGCUCGGGCUGGUGGGUCCCAUACCUUGCCUGAGCUGGAUUUCCUGCGCUGGAGCCAUAUUGGGCUUGCCAGGGGGGCCUUUUGCCCAGUUUGAUAGCAGCGCUGGAGCUGCUCUUAGACGUGGGAUACGUCACAUGUGAAUCCCACAUUGGAAAACCCACCCAUGCAUGAAAGUUUUAUAUAUGGGCGUUUAACAACAAAGCUCGUCCCUUCGGGGACAUCCGAUAAAAUUGGAACGAUACAGAGAAGAUUAGCAUGGCCCCUGCGCAAGGAUGACACGCAUAAAUCGAGAAAUGGUCCAAAUUUUUUUGGCCUUUUUUGCGCGUGAUUUUCCUGCUGUCUUGAAGGUGUUUGAUGUUCAGCGACUGGUGGUCUUCUUUCUAUUUUUUGAUGUCAAAAGCUCGCCUACCAGCUGUUUGAUCAAAUGACAGUUACUAUGGCCCUUAUAAAAUUGUUCAAGUUUGAACUUUGUCAAACGCUCACAAGGCAAGAUAGCAUCUGGGUUUAUAUGCAAUGCAAUUCAAUAUCAGUUUUGCUUGGUUCAAAGUGUUGAUAGGCUGCAUUCAACUUUGUUUUUGUUAGUUCAAAUAAAACCAAAAUACACAUACUCCACUCUCUAGUUUUCAUCUUCCAUAAUCAUCAACGUCUUGAUUAAUGAGAGUAUGUAUGGCCUUGGCAAUGGUAUGUCACCAUGUUAAUAUGCCAGCUUUUUAAACAGGAGAGGAGGAAAAUAAAUACAGCAGCAGCAAUCUCGGAAGUCUAUGAAACCAGUUGCAGAAGAUUAUAGAUCAGUUCAGUAGCUGAUAUUGCAACUGGUUUUGAAAUUAAAAUGAUUAACUUGUGGAGCAUUUUCUCUAUGAUUUUUUAUCAUCUACAAUCCAUGUUUUACAUAAUAUCCUAUACUUCUAUGAUUACGAAUAUGAGUGCCUCAAGUACUGACACAUUACAUGGGACUACAUCUGUACAAUACCUUGAAAAAAAUUCUCCAAAUCUCAGAUCAAUGUUAAUCAAGAAAUCUUAAGAUGUUUGGAAUGAAAAAUUGUGAACCUUUUUACUCAUGAAUUAAGUGGGGUUAUAAUUCAAUCCACAAGGAAAGGCACAAUAAUAAAAAAAACGCGACUGUGUGUUGGAGAGUCCGAUAACGAAAGGUGGGGAAGCAGCUUGGAUAUUAAAAAGGAGGUAGCAAUUUCAGACCAAAAAAAUUAAAAAGAUAGCACGAGUCCCACAUUGAAAAACCCUUCUAUGCAUCAAUAUGGUCGUUUAACAACAAAGCUUGUCCCUUCGGGGACAUCCGAUAAAAUUGGAACGAUACAGAGAAGAUUAGCAUGGCCCCUGCGCAAGGAUGACACGCAUAAAUCGAGAAAUGGUCCAAUUUUUUUUUGCACUUUUUGUGUGAUUUUCGAUUUUUUGCCCUUAUUUUUUUGUUGCGUGUUUUCAAGGUCUCAGUGAGUCUUUAAUCUUCCAGGUGUGAGUCCAAGUUUGAAUUUAGUGUUUGAUUAUUGAUUGUUCAGUGGCUGGUCUUCCAUUAUUUGUUCACAAGUGCUGGAUUGAAUGCACAUAGAGACUCGGACACAGCUCUGCCGUUGGAUCAUCUGAGCCUUCUAUCUUGAGAACAAUCUCGGAAUGUGAAUCUGCAUUCACAUCCUCAUAUCGUGACAGCGGGAUCUCUCGGUUUCCUUUUCUUGCAAGCAAAGUGAAGAGAUUUAAUACGUGCUCUGUUUGGCUUCUCAGGGCACAAAUUACAACACUUCUGCACGUAUUGAGACUUUUGUGCACUAGCGGUUAAUAAUCAAAAAUACAUUUCGAUAUUCAGCUCAUUGAAAUCCAAGUUUUCUAUAUUUAUAUUGAGAUUUGAAAACUGUCAUCAAGUUCAAACUAAGUUUGCACGAAUGGAUUAUUGGUUUAUUUGUAUACAAACCAUUUCAUACAAGGGGGAAAAAAAAAAAAAAAAAAAAAAACAAGCAUGCCCACAUAACGUCCCGACUGACGAGACAAACUUCUUUUACCCACGUCUAUAUAAAGUCUUCCUAAAUAGAACAUGAAAUCAAGAGAUUGAGCCUAGAACAAACUUGCGGCACUUAGAACUCUUGGCUCGCUUGCUGAAACAACACAACAGCAAGAGUCAGAAGGGAUGCAUAAACUGAAUUGGGUAACCUCUGCACCACCUUCCCAAUGCCUGGUACACCCUCCGUAGCCCUCUUCGUUGCCAUUGCAAUGGUUGGUGCUGCAACCAAUGUCAGGAUCAGUCCCUGACUGACUACAAUGAAUGUGUCGGCUGUCAGCUGCUUGAUGAACUUCGUAAACUCUUGACGGUCAAUUUCUCCAUCGAGAUUGAUAUCGUUUUCCUGCAAAUACACUGAGUGAACAAUCUUCUAUGUGGUUCUACUCAGUAUGAACUAUAGCUUAAUAGGAUAACGUUUUAAAGCUCUGCAAGUUACUGAAAGAGAAUCCUCAAGAAAAAAAAAAGAUAGACAGAUGUUAUGAUUUAUCCAUGGUCAUGGUUACCAAGAUUAUGGAAUCAGCUCGGCAUUCAAAUGCCAAUUAAACAAAUCUCCUAAAUAUUCAACAAGAUCCAACCGUGUAUUGAGAGUAAAGUAUUUGUUAACGCAGAGCCUACAUCUACAACCAAGCACCCCUAGAACACCCAAGACACUAAGUAUCAAAGUCAAUAAAGGACUUUACAACAGAUGCAAAAUGUCGAGCCCAAAGAAACGGCUCAGCCAAGGAAUUCCCCCUCACAUCACCCCCCCCCCCCCCCCUCUUUUUUCCUCUAAGAUGUUAGUUAUCAGUUUGACACUGACUUUGGGACAUGGAGCUGCUGUAACAAUAUCAAAACUGCACUUAACAAGAUCUCAGCAAGGAGAUGUAUUGAAUUUCCUUUUUCUUCUCAUUAAAUUUGAGAUAACCAUGUUGUAGUCUUUCACGUGGAAGUAAGCUGGAAAAGAAAAAAGAACAGCUACUGGCCUCUUUUCCCAACACACGACCUUUUACUGUUGACAAUAGUUAAUUGUAGUCUUCUAUGUACUUCUAUGCAAUGCAUAACUAAACUCACUACAAAAUUCAUUGGAUUCAACAUUGUCUACAAAAGAAUAACAGGCUCAGAAUCUCUGUUAUGUUUUCUUUAGGUUUCCUGAACAGAGACACCUUAGACAAACUCUCAACAUGAAUUCUUACUAGCAAAAAAUGACGACAAUUUUCCGUUGCAUAACAAACUGCAGAAACAAAAGGUUAUUAAACAUAGAAAGUAAUUUCUUCAAGAUACUGUUCCUGACAGUCCAAUUUUAAAAAGGCUAUCAAUAAUUUCAAUCACAUUGAUGCAUAAUUUCACAUAAGACUAGGAUGAUAUGAUGGAUUUCUAUUAAAACUUGCAGGCCAUCACAGUUAUCUAUCCAGAUUAUGCAAUCAACUUGUCAUUCAAAUGCCAAAUAUCAAACAGUUAAACAACCCAUUUCUCAUCAACGUCCAAACCCCACCUAUUUUUCUAAUGAAAUUUCCCAAAUUAGGGAACUCAAGAACUUGAUUCCCUUUUAGUCAGUCAAGGAGACAGAGGAUGAUACCCAGCUCACAAAAUUUAUAGCUUCCAACCUAACAUCUACAUCACAAACACCAAUCGCCUUUCUCUAAGGCAAUUGUACAUACAAGAAGACAGUAGAAUCAAUUUAAGAGAAAAAGCAUGUAUCUGCAGAGAACUAGCCAGGCUAGGACUUCCAUUAAUGCCUCAACCAAUAAACCUAUUGUAACAAGUAUAGCUGACUCAGGAUGAUGAAUUCUUUCAGUCAAAAUGAGUAAUUUUAAAUUAGGUAAUCAACAGACAAAUAAAUUUAAAGCAGAACUCAUCGGUCAUAUCUAUAGAACCUCUUUUAUUGCAACCCAACCCUCAAACAAACUGGUACUACGUCAAAUCAUGCUAAACCAGACCAAAUAAAGAAAGACAAAGGGUUGUUUCUUUCAGACCAUGAAAAAUUAAUGUUAAACAGGAAGCAUAAAGGUCGCAAACAGCAACUUAAAGGUGUUUCAGUUCAUCUUGAUAAAUAAGAGUUUUAUGGGUCUAACUGACUUUAGUAAGUUUAAAGUUGAAAUAUAAAAUCCUGUGAGAGUAAUAAUAACUAGCAGUUGUGCUCUAUUAAAUUGAAAAAAUUGCAAGCAUAUGUGCAGAUAACUAGCUUUCCCUAAUCCAAAACUAAAACUGGAUCACAAAUCUUAGUAAGCGAAAACUUGGUUCUACGACUUGACUGUUGCAGUAACACCUAAAACUCAAGAAACAUAAGAUAAUGUGAUUGAAGCUUAUGGAGGAUGCAAGAAAGGCCGCACCUGAAAAUUAAGUCAAGAAUCCAUUACUUUGACUUCACAAUUUAUAUGAAAUUUCCUACCAAAUGGGACGUAUACCAUUGAUAUUUUCAAAGGAAAUUAUCUUAUGUGUAAAUGGUUUGAUACUAACAAAUUUCAUUUCAUCAGUUUGUUUUGUAACCAAUAAAAAAUCCUUAUAACAGAAAACUGAUGUACUUUUAGGUACUUCCUAGAUUUUAACUCAUCCUCAAUGUUUAAGCUGUUUAAAUUCAGCAGCCACUCAAAAACCUAUGAAGCAGUAGGAACAAAAUGGGUCAACGUUCAUCAAUGAUUAGAGUACCUGAAGCAAAGCCUUGACAUGGUCUUUGGAGGGUGGAUCAAAAUGUGGGCCAGGUAAACGCUUAUUGAUAUCACUACAACAAGAAGAUUAAGAAAGAAAAAAAAAACCUCAAUUAGAAUAAUGUGGACACCAGCAGAAUGAUUUUGUAAUCAGCUAAACAUUUGGAAAAAAAAAAAAAGCUUCUCACUUGUACACAAGUAGUACACCAAUGUACAGAUCUUCAAAUGUCAAGUUAGCCCUUCCUGACUCAUUUUUAAAAUGAUCAAACACCUUGUCUGUAAUCUUUUGUAUUUGCUUUCGCCUCCAUUGCUUACCUGCAAGGUGGAAAACAAUCAGAUACAAUGAAAACAUAAUUAAGGGUUCUGAUUCAUGUCCAGUAAUGAAACAUGCCAGACUGUCUGUUAGGAUGAAUAUCUACAAAUUUCUUUGAUGGAUGGCCAAAGGUAUCAUCUUGACCAUCACAUCUAAAAUUCAGUACAACAAAAAAGAUAUGAAAACAUGGGCAUAAAUUUGAUGUCAAAAAGAAAACUUUCAACCGCAUCUGAGGAACCCAUCACUCAAAACAGAGGACCAGUAGGUUUGCGUUAAUGUUGGCAGUGAGUUGGCCUUAGAACCCAUAAAAGCUAAUGCAUGACUCUGUGAUUCAACAUCAUUUGCAGAUCCCACAAGUGCGGAAGGAUGGAAGAGCAACACAAACCCAUCCAAACUAAAAUGAAAAAUUAAGAAAAGGAAGAAAAAGAAAGAAAGAAAGCGAAAGCCCAGUAGAAAAAUUAGUGGGUUCUUUAUGAUCUACAAAACGAAAGAUUCAAACACUAUUGGGAUCGAAAGAAUUACAAACAUUUAUCUGUUAAAGCUUGUUUCUUUCUUUUGUUUUUACAUCAAAAUCGAUGAAAGCUUUGAAGUGGUACCUUGUAGUCUGUCCAGCACCUGUCCCAUGGCGAAGUAGUGAGCUAGUAGACAGAGAGGCCUUUUGCGACUUCGUUUGGAUGAUAAAGGAAGAAAAGAUCCUUUGGUAUCGGACCAUUGAAUUGACUUUUUCCGGCAACGUACGCAUAAGGAAAAGGAAAAGAUCCUCUACGGCAACUGUCAAGGUAUUGUUUGUUAUUUAUUUUGGAGAUUCACUAUUAUAUUCAAAUGGGCUCAAAUUAUAAAAAUACUUCAUAUGAAAUAGAUUUUAGAAAUACACUCAAAUCUCAUUUACAACAUAACAAAAAAGCUUUUAACUUCUUAUAAAUUACAAAACUGUCAUCAAUUUCUUAAAACAAACCAAACUCCAAAAUCUCAUAAAAAUACUCAAAACACUUAAUAGUGCAUCAACGUAAUUUAAUAAUUAAUAUUAAAUUCAAUAAGGCCAGCUAUCAUUUUUUGGGUUUGUUUUUUGGUUUGUUUAUAGAAAUUUAAUUGCGUAUGGUUUAUUUAUAAUAUUAGUGCUAGAAAUGGGUAUAUCACUAAAUAUCUCUAUUUAUUUUUGGGAGAUUCACUAUUAUACCUAAUAUAGGAGUCCAAAUUAUAAAAAAAGACUCUAUAUGAAAUGGAUUUUAGAAACACACCCAAAACUCAUUUAUAAUAUAACAAAAAGGUUUUUAAUUUCUUAUAAAUUACAAAACUGUGAUCGAUUUCUUAAAAGAGAGAUUCACUAUUAUACCAAAUAUAGGUGUCUAAAUUAUAAAAAUACCAUAUAUUAAAUAGAUUUUAAAAACACACCCAAAGCUCAUUUACAACAUAACAAAGAGGCUUUUAACUUCUUAUAAAUUACAAAACUGCCAUCAAUUUCUUAAAAUAAGUCCAACCCCAAAAUCUCAUGAAAAUACUCAAAACACUCAAUAGGCAUCAAAGUAAUUUAAUAAUCAAUAUUAAAUUCAAUAAGGUCAGCUGUCAUUUUUUGAGUUUUUUUUUUUUUUUUUUGUUUAUAGAAAUUCAAUGGUAUAAGAUUUAUCUAUAAUAUUAGUGCUAAGAAUUGGUAUAUCACUAAAUAUCUCUUCUUAAAACAAGUUAAACCCUAAAACUUCAUAAAUAAAAAAAACUCAAAAUACUCAGUAGGCCAUCAAAGUAAUUUAAUAAUCAAAAUUAAAUUCAAUAGGGCCAGUUGUCAUUUUUUGAGUUUUUUAUGGGUUUGUUUAUAGAAAUUAAAUGGUGUAUGGUUUAUCUAUAUCAUUAGUGCUCUAAGAAUGGGUAUAUGACUAAAUAUCUCUUUAUUUUUUACAGAAAAAUUCUAACACAUGACCUUCCGAAGGACAUUUCUAAUAGCAAUUCACCACGGUGAUCUCUAUUUCUGGUCUAUAUCCAUUAUUUUUAGACACCCUUUUAUAGUCCAAGAACAAAGUAUCUUUGCUCUAAUGGGGCCCCCUAAACUUUUUUAUGUGCUAAUUUUAUUUUGUGUUAGCCCUUUUUAUUUAAUUUUCUCUCAUAUCAACCGUUGGAUCAAAUAAUGGUGUAGGAGAUAAGAUUUGCUCUCGUCAUAUCAUUUUCAAUUCUUAGCAUGUUGUGUAGUUGCCCAGCAAAUGAUUCACGAGAAAAAGUUUGCUCUUUUACUCAUACAAGAAACUUUCAAUCAUAUCAAUGAAUGUGAGCAAUAAAAUUUAAGUUCACAUAAAUUACUAUGGUAAAUGUGCAACUAAUCACCUAAAUCUAAUUUAAUAAAACAAAACUCAUGUUGUUCAUUUCACUCCCCCACUCCUGGGUCUCUUAUUUUGUUGAGAGAUAUUCGUUGAAUUUGGUGUAACAUUUGUUAAUGGUUAUCUAUUAAGAUUUGAGGCUCUUUAUUAUUCUCGGUUCUUCUUCUUUUUUGAGUCAAAGCUAGAAAGGGAAAGAGAAUUUACUCGCACACAUUGCUAGUGUUUAAGAGUUUCAAAUAUGUGACCACUAAUUUUAAACUAAAUAUACUUUUUCAUUAUGGUAUGACCCAUUGACCUAAGUUCUUAUUAGUUAGGGUGAAAAUCUUGAAAUUGUUGAAUACGACUCCGCAUUGUUGGACUUGACAACACAUUCUCAAUAGUUGCACUCUCCACUUAUCGCAACCCAAACGCAUGAUAGAGGCUAGAGCUAUGCCUAAAUAGAAGAGAUGGGGGACAUUUUUAGGGACACAAAUUUUACGCCCAAUAAGAUACUUACACGUUGACUUUAGCGGCUCCAAAAUAUAGAUUAACUAUCGACCAAGAAGCAGGAAGAAAAACACAACUAAUAAUUACACAUUAAGUUAUCCCCUGCAGUAUCCGAAGAAGAUCAUGGGACCCAAACCACGUCUGAGUUCAACUCAGCCUCUAAGCGUACACCACGUGGCACCAACAAUUGAGAACAGCCAAGAAUACUCGAAACAAUAUAAAUAUCCAAAGACCUCACAUCAUCUUAAGUCUAACCUAAACCUAAACAUCGGAGGCUUCCUUAUUGAUAUGUCUCUCACAAAUUUUAAUCUAGUCUGUCUUUGCUUCUUAAACUCAAUUUGUCUCACAUAAACCUCAAACGUCAAUCUCAUAUCUAAUUUUGUUUCAUUCUGUCAAUUCUUUUAGAGAAUACGCUUAAGUCUUUCGAUAUUGCACGAGUGAGAAUGAUUAUUUAUUCAAAUGUUAGCCAUGUUGUUGCCACGUGUGCACAACAUAAUAUAUAUGUUCUAAUAAUAUAAUAAUGCUUUUAAAAGAAAACUCUUUUGUCAAAAAAUUUGGUAUACCUAUUUUUCCUAUUAAAUUACCACACUAAUGUUAAUUUAGUCGUUGGAACUUUUUUUAGGGUUAAUUAAGGGCCUAAAAUAUAUAAAAAUAGCGAAUAUGAGAACUGAUUUUACUUUUUUCAAAUUUUAUCGAAUUUUAUGAUAAUAGUAAGGGAAAUUUAUAGCUUUAAGCAAAAUAACAUUUAAACUAUUAAAAUGCUAAAAAUAUAAGUAAAAAAAAUUAAAAACAAAAGAGCACCUCUUAGUUUCUAAUGGAAUAUAUAAAGAUGACUUUUUUAUGAAACAAUCAACACUGAUCUGUUGGAAAUUCCUUUAUCCACAGCUAACUUCAAUCAAAGAAAAACCCUAAAGCUAAGCUUCCAAAGUUUAACAAUUCCCUAAAUUUACAGCAAAACUACCAAACCAAUUUCCAACAGAGUUCCUGAUAACACCCUGCAAAUCCUAUGAAACCAGAAUUACUGUUUUGAAAAGCAAUUUUAUUUUCGAAUGGUAUAAACACAUACUUCACUAAGUGCUUUUGGAGCGGUCUAAGCUAGUCCCCACUAGUUCCACCAUCAUGAUAACAUGUACGAGCAUGCCAUAAUGGUUUUGGGUAAGACUUGUCGGAAAUGUUUAUCAUAUUACAUUUAGUUCACUCCAAUAUUUCACACAAAUCAAACUAUUUAAAUCAAAAAAUAUGUUUGAAGAAAAAAAAAUUAUUUUUUUGAUUCAGUACAACAAGCAUUAUAAGUUCGAUCUUGUUCUAACACAUCAAUUAAAAGUUUAAAACUGUGACUUUUAUUGCAAGUUCUAAUUUAUUGUUUCAUAUCAUGAAAGCUGUGACUCUUAAUAAAUCAAUUGUUUAUUAUAUAUAUUUCAAGCUAUAAAAGCAUGACUUGGAGGAUCACACUCUUCGUUAUUUAAGCUGUACAUGUUUUUAGUGUUUCAGAAUUAGAACGUUUUAUUGAUGUGAUAUUUUAAAGAGUUUUUUCAUUCUUGGUACUACUAAUAUAUUUAAACUAAGCUCAAAUUGGAGUUUCUUCGAUCAUGCGUGAUCGUUAGUGGAGCCGUACCAGAUUAUCUUAAUUUUGGAGUUAAAUUGCUCCGUUAUUGUAAUGACUCUUUGUGACUAGUUUAUAUGGACCCCUUGUGGCAAUUGGCUUUUUAAGCUGAAUUAUGAAUGCAAUAUCAGAAUUUCUAUAAAUAAAUAAAAAGCAUUUAGCCUAAGAUUUUUUUUUAUUAACAUAAGCAUAAUUAGUUAACCACCUUUGGAUAUGAUUAUUGUUAAUUAGUGAAUUAAAUUGUAAAGGAGUACUUGAUCAAAUUAAACAUCAAUCAUAUACAUCUAUCCAAGCAUUGAGAAAUAUAAAGCUGUAACCCUAUACCCAUUUAGUAUAAUUUGGUGGGUUGUGGUGCAUUUAUACAAGUUUUAUCAUUCUUCUUCUUCGUUGAUAGCUGAAUCCUCAGCCCACCAUCAAUGUCAUCUCUAGAUCUCACACUUUGAAUAACGUUUUGGGUUCUCUAAACUUUUUGGAGCAAAGACAAGGCAAAGUUACAUUUACAUCUCUCUUCAUUACCAAGAUCCUUAUUCUUGGAAAGGUUAGGUGUUUUUCUGUUCUAAUUUUCUGCACCUUUGUCAAAAUUAAGGCUCAUUACAAAAACAAUCUAACCCACCAAUGACAUAUUAUUCCAUCAUUCCAUAUUAUUUUUUUGUUUAUUUUCUUAUUAUUCUAUACUGUUGAUUAAUUACUUAAAUUCCUAAGAUUAUUUCGGCUCUUGAUUACAAAUACAAUCUAACCCCACCAAUGACAUGCUCCUCUCAUUCCACAUUAUUAUUUUGUUUAUGUUCUUAAAUACUUAAUAUCUUAUUGUUUUUCUAACAAAAAAUUCAAUUUUACUCUUAUGCAUUCAAUAACAAAUUACUAAAUUUAGUUCUUUAUAUACCUUAAUACUAAAUUUAUGUUCAUGGGGGCUACUUUAUACUUGUUAUUUUUCUCCUUAACCUUUUGUAUAUCUCAAGUUCUUUCUAUAACUUAAAAUUAAAUUGUACUCUUACUCUCAUUCAUUCAACAACAAUUUUAGCUUUUGUUUUGAAUUUUAGUGAAUGGUCAUUCUUGAUAUUUUGGGGUAUAUAUUGCUUAAAGAUGUUUUUUUUAUUAUUUUAAAGAUUUAAACUUCAUAUUGUAUUAUUGUCUAAUAUAAUGUGGUUUCAUUUAACAAUUGGCUAAGAAAUAUAUUUUUGAAAUGGGUGAAACGAGUCGUGUCGUGUCAUUCGUGAAUUGUAACAGGUCGUGUUCGUGUUGGGUAUUUUCCACCCGUUAAGAAAAGCAGGUUGACAUGAACACGACAAACACGAUCCAUUUGCCAGGUCUAGUCACAACGACAUGGAAGAAAUUAGGGCAGCUUUAGGUCAUAACAAGAAAUAUAAAAGCAGAGUAAAAAAAAAAAUAUGUAGAAACCAGCUCCAAAGCAUGAGAAAAACUUCCCUGACACGCCACAUUGUUGACACCAUGUUGACCUCACCUUCCCCCUUAAGCAAAUCCCACCAAUUAAGGGAUAACCCUUGCUUGUCAUACCUCACAUCCCACCAAACAAGGAGUAGCUAUCCAUGCCCCCUCCCAUGCCUUCUCAAUGCCCAAUGCCUUAAAUCAAUGGGAGGCCAUGCAGAAUCCCCAAAUCAAGGAGAGCCAUGCAUUCUCUACCACUACUUGGACUCCAAAAGGGAGCUCAUCACCUCCAAACAAAGGGACCAGCAGUUGCCACUUCUCCAAGAGCUCUCCCAAGCCCUCUAUUUCUCUUCUACAAGAGCUCUUAAGCCUCUCUCCCCAUAUCUCUCUCGUGUACAAUGUAAUCUCCAUAUCCAAAUACAAAUACAAAGCUAUAAACUAUAGUAGAUGUAGCCCCAUUAUGAAUAAACCACUCAAACACUUGUGUUAUGUGUGUGAUUAUGUCUUAAUCGAUUUGGUAUAAAUUCACCCAUUAACACCCGUAAUUAUCCCAAUCCAAUGAAAUCAUGAGACUUGCCAACUGUUGACGUGAGUCUCCUAAUUAAUCAAGGAGAUUUAUUUCCUUGAUUAAUUAAAGGAUUUACUUUCCUAUUUUUAUAUAGUUGAUAAAUCAUUGUAUAAUUAGAAAAUACUUUCCUAAUUCUUUACUGUAUCUAAUUCCUUGUAAAGCAUUCUGUAAACUCUUAUAUAUACUUCUUAUGGAGAAAAAUAAGAUUAACCUGAUGCAUUCAAACCAUAUUCAUAUUUUAGCAUGAUGUUAGAGAAACGAUCCUAGGUUGUCUUUAAACCCUUAUCUCAAAUUUCUCAUAUUCAAAUCCAAAACACUAAAUCAAAUUCCUCAUAAUUUUUCCCCAAAUCCAAAUCCCUCAAAUCUAGUCCUAAAAUCCUCUUAUCCAAAUCCCUAAACACAUACCCUCACAUCUUAUACACAUACCUCUUAAAUCCAAUUCCUAUAUCAAAUUCCUCACCUUCUCAUAUCACAUCUUACUUCCGCUGCAAUGUCAAGAACCCCUACAAUUCUCCAUCUUAUUACAGACUCACAGAAGCAUGCUGUCAAUUCUGCUGACCCGGCUACCUUUACUCUUGCUUCUAUCACCACCACCAAAGGUUCUACUUUUCAUACGUCUUCCAAAAACUCCGCAUGGAUUAUCGACUCGGGUGCUACAGAUCACAUGACAUUUGAUCCUGGCUAACUUAUUAAUCACAAAUCAUCCACUCCGUUGGUGGUGUCUAAUGCUAAUGAUACCCCUUUCCCUGUAGUUCAGGAGGGCUCUCUAUCUCUCUCUACUUCCCUUACAUUUGGAUUAUGUAUUACUUGUUCCAUCUUUGGACCAUAACUUGUUAUUUGUUGCACAACUUACUACUACUUUGGGGUGUACUGUAACAUUUUCACUGAAUCAUUGUGUUUUUAAGGACAUCCUCAUAGGAACGACGAUUGGUUGUGGUACUCGACGGGGCAAACUCUAUUACUUGGAUUGGGCACCGGAUAGUGAGGUCAAUGGUGGUCAAGCUUUCACAACCAGUGGAACUCGUCCUGAGAGGGAGAGAGACAAAAUUUAGUUAUGGCAUAAAUGUCUUGGGCAUGCCUCGUUCGGUUAUCUUAAGAAGUUGUUUCCAUCAUUAUUUUUCAGUCUUGAUGUUUCUAGCUUCCAGUGUGAUACGUGUGAAUUGGCUAAGAGCCAUCGUGUCCCGUUCCCAUUAAGUUCAAAUAAGAGUUUGGUUCCCUUUUCUCUUGUUCAUUCUGAUGUUUGGGGACCUACUAAAAUUGUCACCUUGGCAAGGGCGCGAUGGUUUGUCACAUUUAUAGAUGAUUGCAUAUGCAUGACUUGGGUUUCCCUGCUCAAAACUAAAGGGAAAGUCAGUUCCAAGUUUCAACAGUUUUAUCAAAUGGUGAAGACUCAGUUUCAGGCCAGAAUUCAGAUUCUUCGUUCUGACAAUGGCGCAGAAUUUCUCAACCACAAUCUUAACCAGUUCUUACAAGAUCAUGACAUCAUACAUCAACGUUCAUGCCCUUACACUCCCCAACAGAAUGGGGUGGCUGAAAGAAAGAACAAACACUUAUUGGAAGUCGUUUGUGCCUCUCUCUUUGGUGCCAAUAUGCCACGAUUUUUUUGGGGUGAAGUCGUCGUCUCUGCAGCAUAUCGUAUCAAUCGGAUUCCCUCUAGUAUCCUAAAUUUUAAAACACCACUUCAAACACUUCACCACCAUAUCCAAACACCUCCCACCCCAAACUUGGAACCCCGAAUUUUCGGCUGUGUUGUAUUUGUCCACUUAUAUGAUCACCAACGAAGCAAAUUGGAUCUCCGAGUCGAAAAGUGUGUUUUCAUUGGCUAUGUACCUCAUCAGAAAGAAUACCGGUGUUAUCAUUCUUCUAGUCAGAAAGUCUAUACUUCUAUGGAUGUUGUGUUCAAGAAAAAUGACAUAUAUUUUUCAGCUGCACAAGAGAAGCAUUGCGACACCAACACUUCUCAAAUUUUCAAUGUGUUUCCUCCAGAAUCGUCCCAACCUGAAAGCAACCGGUCUCCAAUGACUCUGCUUGAAAACUACCGGUCCCAACCUGAUAACGACCGGUGGCUUAUGACUUUGCCAGAAAACGACCGGUCGCAGCUUGGAAGCUACCGGUCGCUCCCUGAAAAUUAGCCUCAGCCUGAUCUGUCAUCUCCUUGUUGUCCAACUCAGGAGGAGGAAACUGAUGAGAUUUUUCCCACUUCGGAGACUUCUUCAGCUCCAAUACCACACCAAUCACCUACUGAGGAUGUCAUUCAGGUAACAUCUUGUCCUGAAACUGGUAACACUAAUGAAAUAUUCCAUGAUGAUUUGAUUUUAGAAGGCACAUAGCCUACAUCUCAGCUUCCAGAAAGGAAGAACCGUGGCAAACCUUAAGUACAAUAUGAAGUAGAUCUUAAAGCCAAAGGGAAAUACCCCAUCAAUAAUUAUAUUUCUCUCAACAGAUUAUCAGAGUCAUGUGUGCACUAUGUGAAGCAGUUGGCUGACAUAUUUGUCCCUAACAAUGUAAUUGAAGCACUAGAAGAUCCAAAAUGGAAAGAAGCUCUGAAUGAAGAAGUGCAAGCUCUCCAAAAGAAUGUCACAUGGGAACUCGUCCCGUUACCUCAUGGAAAAAAGACAGUAGGAUGCAGUGAUAGGUCCCGCCCCAGAAUUUCCCGGAAACCGAAGCAGCCCCGUCUUUAUUCCGACAUCAUCCCGAUACCGGGCUCACUUACUAAAAACCGAGACUCUCUACCAAAAUUUUGGCAGAGUCUCCCUUAUAAAUUAAGCGAACCUAACAAAAAUUUUAACCUGCAACAUACAUAAAAUAAUCCCAACCAGCAGCAUGCUUUCAUAAUACAACAAAACAUACUAAAUGGCCUCCGGCCUCACAAGUAAAAUCUACCAUGGGCGAUAACAGAACAUCUACUGAAUUUAGUUUACAACAACAGUUAAGUAGAAGAAAUUACUCAGAUCCUAACUAGGGAAGUUCACAAUUCGAGCCUCGUACACCACUUGCACGCUUUCUAGACGACUACUGGCUGGGAGGCGCAAAACAGAAAACAUGUAAGUGGACAAAAAUAAGAUUUGCAUUUAAAACAACAUAGUAACCCCACCAUAUAAAAGUAAUGCUCAAGACAUGCAGAUUCACAAUUCAUAAUUUAAUUACUCAAAAUAUAUUUCAUUAAAACUCUUUAAAAACACAAAUCACUUCAUCCAUAAACCACAUUCUCACAAUCUUACUGCUCCUGCCAACCCACUGAUAAACUCUAAUUUCUUCACUCUCACAACUAUAUAUAUAUAAUUAUACAAUAUACUCAUCAUACUACCUAAGUACCUGGGAAACAAUCCAACUGGGGGAUCGUUUAACUAGGCCGCAAGAUUUUCAGGUGCUAUCCUGCGUCUAGGGAUGAGCAGUCCAACCAGGAGACGAAACUCCAUAGCUCACACACCAAAACAUCCAACGCCAUGUGUAGCUCCAAUACUAAGUCCUAUGCGUGCAGACUGGAUCAUCACACACCGGAACAUCCAACGCCAUGUGUGAUGAUCCCAAACAAUAUACAGAGUCUUCCUAUACGCUGGAACAUCCAACGCCGCGUAUGGAAAGUGUCUCACACGCCGAAACAUCCAACGCAGCGUGUGAGACUGAUAACCUAUUCUUCCUACAUGCCAGAACAUCCAACGCCACGUGUGGGAAGUCUAAUAACUGGGGAAGGUACUUACAUAGUGUAAUCAUACAACUUCUCUCAACAACCCCUCAUAUUCAAGUUCCUCCACAACUCACCUCAACAACCCAAGUAUCCCACCUAUAGACAAUAUAUAUAUAUAUAUAACUUCCCCAAAAUUCAUAUAAAAUAUACUCUCGAUACCCAAAUAUGCCAAACCCACAAUAUAUUGUCAAAGCGCUAUACAAACAUCAAAUUCAACCCAUGAAUACAAUAUAUUCAAUAAAUCAUUAAAAAUACUAUGCAUAAAUCUUUCAUCAAUAAAACCAUGCAUAUGAUUGAAAACAAAGUCCACUCACAAGUAUUCCCAUGCUGCCUGACCAUGAGAGAGUCCUGCUUGCUGAGUACGUGCAGUCGGAGCACCUAUUUCUAGAUACGAACCCUUAAUUAAUAUAAAAUUACUUCGAAGCGGAAAUCACAAAUUAAAUACUUAAAUUUCCAAGUUCCUAGUACGUGUAUGUUGAACGAGGUAUCCUAAGGUCCAGUUACAGGUUUAGGAAUCGCUCACGAUUGUACGGUUAUCGCUAACCCACAAACUGUGCAUUAUUGAAUCAGAACAUCCGGGGCUCCGAUUUAUGAUCCGUGAAGUCCUACAUGGUCCUAGGAAUACCUAGAACAACAUAUUUUAAUUGGAAAACAAUCCAACGGUCAGAACUUAUCGAACCCGGAUAACGCACAAUAUGCGAAAAUUCGUUCGAUAGUCAAACGACGUCCGAAUUGAGAUCCGCGAAAUCUUAUGCACUCGUGACAACCUAAGGAUCUCAUCGAGACAAAUUACAACUUCACCAGCCUCGCCCACGUGCCGCCACACGAGCUGGCAGCGUGUGGGUGUGUAGAGUAAAUUCCGAUGACAGAAAAACUCCACACCCGAGCUCACCCUUCCUACCCUAGCUUUUACUCGAGGUCAGGACCACAUCAUUUAACUACCGGGAGGUCCAAUUCGGACGGCAACUGGCCGAAAUUUCACUUUGAAAUCCGACCAAAACCUAGGUUUACAAAUUGAUUUCUACACAUCAAAUCGAUCCAAACCUAUGCAACAAUCAGCUAGACCAAGGAAAAAGAGGAAGAAACCUCACCUUAUUCACCGAGUUUGGGCGGCGGAGACGACGGCCCGACGGCAGUGAUUCACCGGUUCAAACCAGUCGAGAUCAUGGCCGGAAUUCGUGGUUUUCGACGGGGAAAGCUGGUGGUUCUGGUUCGAGGUUUCACGACGAAUCGAACAGGACCGAUCUCGAGGGCUGGAGUGGUCGAAUGUGGCGGCGGUGCGGUGGUUUCUGUCUCAGUGAACAGUAAUUGGGGAAGGGCUUCGCGCGCGCAGAGAGGGAGAAUCGGGAGAGAGAGAGAGAGAGGUAAAAGUGAAAAAAUUAGAUUUUUACUCUUAACUCCUUUCGAAAUAAUUACAAGUUUGCCAUUGAAUUACUUUUGAUUGCCAAAUCUUCGUUCCAACUCUGAUUCAAGCCUAUCGCAUGUCUACGAAUUCGUCUUAGUACAACCUACCCAGAAAUACCAGUCGUGAUCCCAAAAUCCUUCCGGAUAAGAAAAUAACCAAUUUACCCCUACCCUAAGGGUGAAUUCGUAAUUUCACUUUAAAUACAUUAAAAUAGGAAUUAAAUUUGGAGUCGGGGUGUUGCAUGCAGGUGGAUUUAUAUUGUGAAAUUCAAAGUAGAUGGAUCCGUUGAAAGAUAUAAAGCUAGAUUGGUGGCGAAGGGGUACACACAGAGAUAUGAGAUAGACUACGAGGACACUUUUGCCCUAGUAGCCAAGAUUAACACUAUUAGAGUCCUAUUGUCUCUAGCAGCAAAUCUCGAUUGGCCACUACAUCAGUUUGAUGUAAAAAAAUGCAUUCUUACAUGGAGACUUGGAAGAAGAAGUAUAUAUGGACUUACCACCAGGAUGUAACUUAUCUCUUGACAAGGAGAGUCAAGUUUGCAAACUUAGAAAGUCAUUAUAUGGGUUAAAGCAAUCCAUCAGGGCAUGGUUUGGAAGAUUCACUAAAUCCAUGAAGAAUUUUGGAUAUAUACAGAGUAAUGCAGAUCACACUUUGUUCUUGAAGCAUGAUGGAAGAAGACUUACUGCAUUGAUUGUUUAUGUGGAUGACAUAGUCGUAAUUGGAAAUGACACAGGAGAGCAACUAAAACUGCAGAAGCAUUUGUCUUAGGAAUUUGAGAUGAAAGAUUUAGGUGAUCUGAAGUACUUUCUAGGAAUUGAAGUAGCCAGGUCCACAUUUCUGUCUCAAAGGAAGUAUGUUUUAGAUCUGCUCACUGAAAUAGGAAUGCUUGGAUGCAAACCUGCUGAUACACCCAUUGAGAUGAAUCACAAGUUAUGUGAAGACAUGAAUCAAGAACCAACCAAUAACGAACAGUACCAACGCCUUGUUGGAAGGUUGAUAUAUUUAGCCCACACAAGACCAAAUAUUGCAUAUGCUGUGAGUGUAGUUAGUCAGUUUAUGCAUUCACCCAGUGUGUCUCAUAGGAAUGCAGUUGAUCGGAUCUUAAGAUACUUAAAGUCAGCACCUAGAAAAGGAUUAAUGUUCUCAAAAAAUAGAGAUCUCGAAGUUGUUGGAUAUACAAAUGUUGAUUGAGCUGGUUCUGUUACUGAUAGACGCUCUACUUCAGGUUACUUCACUUUUGUGGGAGGUAACCUAGUCACUUGGCAAAGUAAGAAACAAAAUGUGGUUUCUCGGUCUAGUGCUGAAGCAGAGUAUCGAGGAAUGGCUCACGGAGUUUGUGAAUUACAAUGGAUCAGAAGACUAUUGACAGAAUUGGGUUGCAAGCCAGAAAAGCCAAUUGAGUUACAUUGUGAUAACAAGUCAGCCAUUGAUAUUACCCAUAAUCCAGUUCAACAUGAUCGAACUAAACAUGUUGAGGUGGAUAGACAUUUUAUCAAAGAAAAAAUUGAGAAGAAGAUUAUCCGACUAUCAUUCGUAAGAUCAGAAGAUCAAUUGGCAGAUAUCUUAACCAAAGCUGUUUGUGGAAGAGUAUUUCAUGACUCACUUACCAAGUUGGGCAUUGGUGACGUAUAUGCACCAACUUGAGGAGGAGUGUUGACGUGAGUCUCCUAAUUAAUUAAGGAGAUUUAUUUCAUUGAUUAAUUAAGGGAUUUACUUUCCUAUUUUUAUAUAGUUGAUAAAUCAUUGUAUAAUUAGGAGAUACUUUCCUAAUUCUUUACUGUAUCUAAUUCCUUAUAAAGCACCCUGUAAACUCUUAUAUAUAUAUAUAUAUAUAUAUAUCUCCUUAUGGAGAAGAAUAAGAUUAACCUAAUACAUUCAAACCAUAUUCAUAUUUUAGCACCAACUACUUUUGACUUAUCAAUUAAUAUUUUAAGAAUAUUUUAGUCCGUACCAAAUCUCCAAAAUAGCCUCCCACUUAUUUCUGCUUCCUUCUCUUCCAAGUAAAACCCAUAAAGUAUUUUCUCUUCUUUUGUGGGAAUAUUUCUCAUUCCACCUACUGCUUCCAUAAUCCAUUCAAUUUUCUUCAAAACUCACAAAGUCAUAAGCUUUUAUUCACCACUGAAGCAACCAUUGCAUAUGACACCAUCAAGUUUUUUUAAAAUAUAUUAUUUUUUUCUGGUUUUAAUGGCUUUGUUUUUAUUUUAUUUUAAUACCUUCUUCUUCCCAUGAAUGGAAUCAACACUCAGUUUCACGAAUAAGUAAUGAGAUAAUAGAAAAGUUGAUAUAGAUCCAAAUUUCUAUUGAGGAGUUGAGUUUAAUCAUCGGAUUUUAUAACUUUGAUCCAAGUCCUUUGACUUUUGUGCCACAUAAAAUUACAUUCCUAUUUUAAUAUUUUAUGAUGUAAUCUUUAUAUUAUUUUAUUUUUAAAAUUAUUUUUUGUUCCAAUGUGGCCCUUAUGACUUGAAUCGGGUAAUAGUCAUUUAUCUCAUAUGCCUAUUGCCUAUUUGCAUAGGUAUGUGUAUGUUUUUUCAUAUUUUCGACAAUGUGUAAUAGUAUUUUAUGUACCUUUUUCUUAAGUAACAUACAAUUUUAUUUUGUCUAUUUUUGUAUCUGACUUAUAGGUAGUCUUUUUAUUUAUGUUCCUAAUUUAUAGGUAACACGAUUUAUCACUAAGUAUUUUUUGUUGCUAAUAAUAACACUAUUUACCUCUAUGUCAAGUACAUAAUUUAAUGUGGGUGCUUGUCUUAUCGAUUGGUAUAAUAUGUGGGUUCUUACUUUUUAUUGAUUAAAUUAUAUUUUAUUAGGAAUAUUAUCAAGGAAAGAAUUCAAAAUUUAAAUUCUAGAAUUCAAUUACAAGGAAAUAAUGCAUUAAAUUUAGAUUUUUAAUGUGUUUUCCUUAUUUAACUCAAAGGGUAAAAUCAACACAACAAAAAAAAGUAAUAAAUGUCAAAGGACCUACAUCUAAAACAAAAAAGGAGAGCAAAUGACCCACUAGUGUAGUGGUUUGGAGUAUUUACUCCCUCAGGCAAGGUCCUGGGUUCGAGUCCUAGCAUUCAUGUAGUGUGUUUGAGUUUAAUAUGCCGUCGCCCUUCUCAAUAGGAAAGGUUCUAAAAAAAAAAAAAAAACGAGAGAAUUAAACCUAAUAACAACUAAUCGUUUUGGAUCUAAAUCUAAGAAGUCCAUAAGAUAAACACACAUAAUCCUACUAUCGCUCUUCUAUCGCCAUCAAAUUCAAAUGUGAUAUCCAUUGGGUUAGGAUAUUGAUGUGGAUAGAUGACCCUGACAUCUUCGUGCCAGGGAAGUUUUUCUCCCGUAUCGGAGAAGUUUUCACCCAAAGCACAGGAGGGGAGCAGAAAGUAGGGCCCUCGAGAAAAACACUCACAACAGUCACACCCACAGCAUUAGGACCUAGUCACCCUCUGAAUUGCCAAAGUUGCAGCAGUAUGAGCUGCUUGAUUCGCACAGCGGCUAAUCCACUGCCAUUGGAUCGAAGAGAAGAAAGCAGCUCCAAAUCUCUUGUAAUAUUGGGCAGAUCUUCCAAGGCGUCAAUCACGACCUUGUGGGCAAGGCUUUUACACAAAAGGGUAACAACGUAAUUUUAAAGCAAAAUUAGCCCUUUUAAAUAUCCUUAUUACUAAACUAUUAUAUGAUUUUUUUUAUUUUUUUAUUUUUUUGUGAUGAAAAGGAAGUGUAAAUUUAAUUAGUCAUUUUUGCCAACGUGACCUAGCUGAUAAGGUCAUAAUUUCACACAUUUGCAUGCCUUCUUUGCUUAGUAAUUUUGUUUAGUUUCUCUUUAUUUUGAGUAUCUUACCUAUGUUUGUGUGUUUUGUAGGUUAGGACAGCAAGGGGAUCACAUUUGAUACAAUUCAUGCAUGUUAAGGGUUGAUUGGCACAAGAGGAAUAUGAGCUUAAUGACAGAACCAAUUUGGGCCACACUCCUUGUCAGUCCAAAUUCGUGGGUCAUCUUGCAGGCCUCAUUUCAGCAACCUACACUACUUGGAUGAGGAGACAUGCUUCACAGAAGUUGUUCCAAUGGGUGUCUAGUAUAACAUAUCCAAAUUUCAACCCAAUUAAUGAUAGCUAGAGUCCUUGGCCUGUCAAACACUGAACCAUGCUCUAGGAGGAUUUUAAUAUGUAGCUGCCAGCUGGUGAGCCUUGUGCUCCACACCUCCCUUGAGCCAUGUGUCUCACUUCAUCAUUGUUUGACUUUGGACCUGACAUGUUGAGCAAAUUAGGGAGGCAUUUCAGCUAUGGAAGUCAAAAAGGAGCAAAACAUGGCAUGCUUAAUUAUGGGGAUCUUGUCUGCACAAAUCAAGGACCAUUUUUCAGGAAUUAUGGUAGGCUACACAUGGGAGACAAAUCAUUAUGGGAACCCAAAAAGAUGAACAAAAGUCAAGCUUUCCAUAAAGAAACCAAGAAAAGUCCACAAAAGCAUUUAUUGGACAGCUGAAACAGUUGACAUUUAUUGGGCAGCUUAGGCAAUUGGGAGCAGCUAAGAGAGGUGUGUUUCACCAGCCAAAGGGGAGCACGAAAUUGCACUCUAUAAAUUGAGAGUUGCACACUCAUUCAAGAGGAGAGGGUAGACACACACAUUCAUUUCAUCCAUUACUCUCAUACACACAUUCA